UUGUGUAUGUGUUGAAGAAGGAAGAGGGGGGGAGGCAUUCGCCGUUCUUUUCGGGUUACAGGCCUCAGUUUUACAUGAGGACCACUGAUGUCACCGGGAAGGUGACUUCGAUUAUGAACGACAAGGAUGAGGAGUCGAAGAUGGUGAUGCCUGGCGAUCGCGUUAAGAUUGUUGUCGAGCUGAUUGUUCCGGUGGCGUGUGAGCAGGGGAUGAGGUUUGCUAUCAGAGAAGGAGGGAAGACUGUUGGAGCUGGCGUUAUUCAAUCCAUUAUCGAGUGAUAGAAAAUAGAAAUUAUGUGGUGGUCUGAACUUAUUUUUGCAAUUUGGUGUCAAACUUGAACUCUCUUAGCUUCAAUUUUAUCUAGCUUUUGACAUUUCCAAGCAAUUUCCACAACGAAAUGUUAUAUAUUUUGUAGGUUUCAUCAUCCCAAUUUGCUCUGCUUUUUUUGAUGAUUCAUUUGUUAGUUUGAUUCCUAGCUUGGUCAUGUGAGAUCGAGAGAUGCGGAUGUAUUCCCGGUUCUGCCAUGGUUGUAUGGCAGAACGAGUGAGGUUUCACGCCGGAUUCUUAACAUAGUUAUGCGAGAUCGAGAGACGCGGAUAUACUCCCGGUUCUAUGGCAAAACGAGUGAGAUUUCACGUCGGAUUCUUAACUUCGCUAAAGCUUUGCACUCCCAAGUCCAUGUUCAAUUUGAAACUCCAUCGACUCAAAAUGUUUCUGUUUUUUACUCUAAAACAGCUUAAUCAAAUUAUGACUCGAGUUAAUUACAAAAUACUUGAGUCCUAACCAGUCGAGAUAAAAAUUUCUUACCGAUUUGCCAUGCCGCCGGUGUGUGAGCUUCGAACAGAAUGGCCGCGAGAUUGCCUAAACAUUGGGCGGGUGUAAAUUUGGUACUCGUAUAUAGAUUAGUAAAGAUAAUAUGUUCACUAAACAUGCCGUACUCUGCUAAUUAUAGAAAGUCUGCCUUUGAAACAGGCUGUUUAAAUAUAAAUAGACAUUUAACGACAGAUUGUAUACGAGGUUGUAUACAUAUUGCCUUGCUGCAGACAAAUACUGUCCAUCUCAAAGACAACUUCUCUUUUAACUUACUUACCUAAUAUAGAAACUAUCUUACUUCCUAAAACCUUGCUCCACUGUGUAUGCUGAGAGUGCCUGAUGAUACACCGUCCUUGGCGACUACGAUCAGUCUUCGGCUUCCUCCAGAAAGCUUUGUAUUCCGAUGAGUUCAUAUGUCCAAGAAUAUGGUUGAUGCAAUCAGCCCUUGCACGAAUGCCGCCCUCUGCCUUCUCUCUUCUUUAUCCUUUUCACAAGCUUCAUCUGGGGGAGAUGGAUCGGUGCUGCACAGACAAAAUGCAUCAGUAACGUCGCAUCAACAGCAUCACCAGGAUAUAUUAUUCGACAAGAUUAGUUACUGAAGCCAGUAGAACUUGCAGCUCAGUCAUGUCAGCCAGGACUCUGGCUAACAAAGCAAACGAAGGGCAAUGGAAAGUUUAGGGAAUAAAUUAAUAUAAAUCGAUGGCUCGUCACAUUUUUGGUUCAACCGAAGGAGCAUUAAUAACUAGUGCAUUGACAUGCUUAACGACAAAUAUCAAGAUAAAAUGAAGUGAAAAAAAAUAUGAAACAAUUUAAUACUUCACCCUGUUGGAACAGACAGCAUGAUUCUAUACUGGAUGACGCAAUGGUUAAAGAGAUAACGACAGUUUUUGCGUGACAUAUAACUCACAAGAUAAACCUAUGCUAAUAACGAAAGGGUUUCCAUCUCUCCAGCAGAAAACUCACUAACUGCCUGCCCUUCACUUUUAAUUCAAAAGAGGAGUAGGUUGGAAGCGAAGAUAGCAUAAUAUUUCAAAAGUACAGAACCCAGGUAACAUAAAAAAGCACUAUCUCAUAAUUCAGAUGAUUAAUCAACUAAUCAAAUAUAUGCAGUUAAGGGAUCAACCAAACAUAGAAUGAUAGCAAACUAAUUAGAAAAAGUUCCAAAACCAAUAACCAAACAGAGUUAAAUGGUGUUCAGGGGUCACUAGGAAAGUAAAAGAUUCAAUAAGAGGUUACUAGACAAAUGAAGGCAACUAGAGAAAUGAGAUAAUCGCAUAUCGUGGAUAGCUUAGAUCUAACAGAAACAACAAUUUAAUGCAUUCACAAAAUUAAAGAUCUUCAAGAAUUUGAAACAGCCGAUGAAAAGCAGAUUUAGCUGCAAUUAAGAAUUUCAUAGAUACCAAACUGUUAUUAGGGUUGGUAUUAUGUAUACACAACAAAUCUUCUGUUUAUGGAAAGCAUAUAAACAGCAGAUCUUUCAUAUUAUCGAAACAUUAAUACGAUGUUUCAACCAAUUUUUUUUUUUUGGUCAAAGAUGUUUCAACAAAUUAGUUUCUGCCUUAUGAGAUCAUGAUAUACCUGGGUUUGCAAAGACCCAUUUACUAUUAUAUCAUCCAUUCAUAACAUGGUGCAUGUUAAAACAAAAGAUUUCUCAAGUUUGCAAUCCCUAUUAAUCUCACGCUCAAACAAUCACUAAUAUGGUAUAGUUAUACUUUCAUAAAACAGCAAAAGGAAUUUACCUUUUCAUGCCGGAAGUGAUAGGGGAAUCAAUAUCUGAACAAACAUCUUCGGGGAUACCUGUAGGGUCUGAAAAUGAUAUAUUGCAGAUAAAUGGUGAGAGGAGAGGAUCAGGUGCAGUUUCCUGUGCAUAUGUCCUUCCAUGUUUAAGCAGUGCCUUCCCCAGCAUUGCUGAACUACCAGUCCACAAACCGGAUUUUUGAGAUUUUCUCCUGUGCUGAAAGCACACAGAUGAAUCCUUUAAGGUUCCGACAAUGAUCAACAGAGCUAUCCGCUAAAUUCACUAUUACGAAGCCUUGAUCCAAUAUAGGUAAUAAUACCUUGAAGGAGCUUCCAUGGUGCACCAUAAAAUGUCCAAUUACAUCUUUCCCCAGAUUCGCAGCGCACAAAGGACAAACCUGGAAUAGCAGGAUUAAAGCAGCCAUCAGGUUCAAAUUCUAGCUGAAACAUCUAUCAAUUUCAAGCAGCAUCUUUUUUGUAAUCAAUAUAUCAACGUUCUUCAUUGGAUAGUUCAGUAAUGACUCAAGAAUCCAAUUUUGAUAACACUAAAUCUCCUUUUUAAUCGCACACAACAAAAUAUUAGGUAAAGAAAAGCACUUACUGCAUUUUUAAAGUCAAAGCAGUGUUCUUCCUCCAAGUGGCUGCAAAGCACUGGGACUUCAAUAUCCACAUAACAGAAAGGGCAUGGAAAACACGAUUUUGUGUCGUCAUCUCCUUCAGAAUCUUCCAAACCCAUAUGAUUAUCUGUUUAAUAUAGAAGAUCGAAGAUCGAUCAAUAGGUGUAUAAAUCACACAGGGUAUCUAUAUAUGUACACGUGUAUAUGUGCACACAGGUGGAUUUAGCAAAGCAAGUCAAAAGCUUCGAGAAAGUUGAUCUCAGUAUUUAAAAGAAAGUACUUGUCGUUUCAAUUACAUCAACAUCCCCAAUAUUCAGCCGUUUAAACUACGAGAUCAAACACAUGCAGACAAGCGCGCAUGCACACAAUUCACACGGACACGUAAAUAACCAUAUUAGAAUGAUAGAACCUAACACCCAGCUAUUACUCCGGCCCCAAGAAACUACUAAAGUGAACACUUUGCCUCGCAUUAGGUGAUCAAGUAUGGGAUAUUCAUGAAACAAACACCACUUGAUUCUUAUCAAAAAGACAAUAAACAGAGAGCCUAAACAAAUAUGAAGGCAUCUUCUUAUCUAUACACUGCAUAAGCUACAAAUGAAUUAACCAGUCUCAACAACCAUCCGAAGCAGAUUUUUCAUCAUUCUUGAUAUGUUUUUCAAUCUCAAUCGAGCCCUUAAAUUUCUCACAUUCAUGAAUAACACUAGAAGCAUUAUUCACAAAUAACACUAGAAGCAUCAUUCUCAGAUUUUCCUUCACCCAAAGCCUCAGACAAAAGGCUUUUUGCUUCCUUCAAUAUCUGCUCUCACAGUCUCUCCAGAUCUUCCCAAGAACGCUAAAGUUCUGAUUUUUGUACAUUCCCCUCUCUGAAAUUUUCAUGCCGAUUAUAUUCUUCAUCUUCACUAUAAUUUUCCACAUCUUCUUCUACCCCAGUAUAAUUUAUCAGGCUGAUAAAUCCCCCUAAUCUUUUUUUGUGGUGUUGAUAACCUCCCAUUAUAAUUAAACUUCCUCCAACCUAAUUAAUCAAAGUAACAUCUUGAUAUCCAUGUGGUCUAUACCAAACCCUAAAUUCUAUUACAAAUUCAGGGAUGCAAAUAAUCACACAAAUAGGAAAGUUUUUAUGAACAAAUCUAGGAAACUUGAUAAAAUUACCUAAUCUAGCAUCAUACAAGAUAUGGAAAAUCUCAGAUUCUCCGGACUUUUUAUUUUAUUAAAUGGGAUAUUUUCCAAUAUCUCCCCACAAGAAAAAUACCCCAUAUAUUUCAGGAUAAAACAUUAUCUGCUUGAAAGUUCAAGCAAAAAUAGUUCAUUUAAACAGGGUUUAACAAACAAUUAGUCAAAAACAAUGUGCCAAUUUCUUUCUUAAAUCCAACCAAAGCUCUCAACUUUAAUUGCAACCCAGUUCUUGAAAUCCCACACGCAAGCCAUUGCUUUACUCAAACAUCAAAAAGAAGAACCUCAAUUGGUGCAAGUUUUGUUAAAUUCAAGGACCUCAAUGAACGGAUUUUUAGUUCGGAGACCCAAUCUAAAUUACGGUGAAAGUUAGGACCGAUUCUAAAUUUUACUCGACACAAAAUGUCGAAGUAAAAAAUAAAAUUCAGAAAAUUGAAGUACCAUAGUGAAGCCUUGCAGCAUGAGCAGCAGAGAGGCUCUUAGCUGCGUGAACCCUGGAAGCCCACAAGUCAACGUCCAUGGUGGUGGUUCAACUCUCCGGCGACCCAAGUCAGCUUUUCCCGGCUAGAACCGGUGGAAACCGCGCCCUUGGGAAAUGGGUUGGGACCAAAAGGCUUAAAGUUUCAAGCUUUGAGAGAGAUUUUGGGGUGUGGGUGUGGUGAAAGCUUACUCACUCUCCCCUCAUAUAUUGCUCCGACACCGAAAGCUUUCCCUACACACAAAAGAUAGUUGAUGGAUAUGUGACACGUGGAAUUUUUAUUUAUUUAUUACACCAUUUGCUUUUUUAUUUUCUUGAGUUAAAUAAUUGUACGUUUAAUUGCAGUUCUGCUUGUUAAUUGUCAAUCUUUUUGUCAAAGUGCAGAGAAAACCAUGGUUUUAAUCUAUUUUUUUAUUUAUUUAUUUGAAUAUUAUAUUUGCUUUCUGCUGCAUUUGACAUGUAUUAAAGCGGGAUUAGUCUAAUUAAAUGAUUAAUGAGAUUGUUUAAUGACUCGUGUGAAAUAACCUUUCUGCACAUCACAUGGGAGCUUUUGGCAGGUCUCGAAAGAUGCCACUGAUGCUGAUGUUGAACAUCUUUGGGUUCUUUAUCUUAAGUCUGAAUGACGUGAGGUAAUUUGGUUUCAUUUGGAUUCUCGUUAUUUUAUAAAGAACAAGGAAACAAAGAAGUAAAGGGUGAGGCAAUAAUCUACCGUUUCGCUUCUACAAUGUUCUGAAUCGUUACUUGGAGUUUUUAGAUUUGAUUGUUACUUAAAAUCUUUAGAUCUGAUUUAAUGAUUGUUCAUAUGCAUUUAACAGACGUUGGACUGGAUUUGAAGACUCUAAGUAGCAGGGUAUUCAAUACUUCAGAGUAUUAUUGAAUAGCUUUGUUGAGAAGUAUGUUGAUUGUUGUAAAUUCAAUGUAAUGUUGCUUUAAAUGUGGCUUUUAUGACGUUCUAAUAUUCAUGUUUUUUAUGAAUUGAAGAUUUGGAAUUCUAAGACAACAUAUUUUGCUUUCAAGGAGUAUAUAUUUAUGAGAGUGUCUCGAUCAUUACGUGAUCAAUCAUUCAGUAUUUAUACAUUAACUUGGCAACCUGUGAUCUAAAAGAUGCAUGUGAAAACAUACUUCAUUAAGAUAGGUAACAACUUUACUUUCUUUCUAAAUAUAAUUUGAUCAUAAUAACGUAUCGCGGAUUUUAUGUUUAGAAUCUAUUUGAUAACAAUCCUAGCAUGUGCCGCCUUGACAAUUACAUGUUGAGUGUCCCACUUACAUCCAACCUGUCGGGGUUUUCCAUCUCGUGCCCUAAACAGAAAUUGAAACUAAUUAGGUUUUAGGUGAUUAACUUUGAUAAAUAAGAUUAAUAAGGCAAAAAAGAUGGGAAAGCAAAUGGGGGUGACAAGGACAACCUAAAAACCAAAGGGCCAAGGCAGAGAAAGGCAAGGCAUGCAGUAACAAGUUGGACAAAAAGUUGCUUUAGUAAGGAGGAAGGUGCAUUACACCUACAAAAAGGGCCAAACAACAACUGCUCAAAAGCCUGUGGUGGCACAACAUCUUCUCAUACAAAAACAGAUUAAAGAGAGCUCAAAGGUUGAAACCCAUCAAAGGGGUUUUGUAAUUCUUUUAUUUUUUUCAUUUAUAAACAGUCAUUAUUAGAGGCUAGUGUUCCAUUAGUUUAGUGGUAAAACAAUGGGAUGGUUUGCUUGGCAUGAAAGGAACUUACCAAAAGCUAAAAAGACAUAAGAAAAAGAACUAAGGUAUUGUAUGGCUGCUAGGACUCGACCAAAUUAUCUCAGUUGAAUUAGACUAGUAUCUUGUUACUUUUGUUGAACUUACAAAUGCUUAAACUGAGUUAUUGAAUUGGAAAACAGUCCAUCAUAGUGUGUCAUCCAAGUGUCGUUUGAAAGUAUUGGAUGAAUUAGGAUUGACUUGUACACGAUUCUAUCCUAGUCCAAUCCCAGUCACCAAACAAGUAUAAUGGCAUCACAACAUAUAUGAGUGGAUCCCAAUUGGCAUUUUGGGUGAUUUGGGCUACUCAAAAGAACUAAUGUUCGGGCUGAACUCAUAUUUUCUUUGAUCAAUGUUAGGAAGGACUUAGCCUAAAGUUUGAGAUAUUAUGAAGAGCGUCCACUAUUAGACAGGCCCUAAGGUGUUCAUGAUAGGGAAAGCUAGCUAGGAAAUCUUUUGAUGAAGAUCAAAGACCCAUUUAAACAAAUUUUUAGGCAGAUAAUAUGCUUUCAAUGGAUUUUUUUUAGGGACAAGUAUACAAUCCAUGAGGGAGAAUUCAUGGCCUUUUUGGAUUUUUGUCUGAUAAUUUGUUAACACCAAGCUUGCAUAAAGAGAUAAUCUUUUACAUAGACCAAUGAAGAUAUAGAUAUGUUAUUUGUCCCUUGAUCUGCUGCUUCCAUGUUCAAACGUUUACGAUAUCAAAAGGAGUGGGACUGACAAAAGGUUAAGCUAUAUACCUUUAUGAGUUUAGAGCCAUAUAUUGGUGGGGAAUGGGAAUGAGAAUGUUGUUGAAGAAUACAAGAAUUCUUCUUCGGAAGACGGACAACACUAUAUGUGAGUUAUAUUGUGUGGUUUCACAUCUGCUAUGUCGUUCAGAUGAUAAGAUACAAGUUUGAGGAUAAUAUCUGUGUGAUUGAUAGUACGCUGAUAACCCAUUUAUCUGAAAUCUUGACAAUUACAAUAAUAUUUCUCCCAGGUUUUAUGACACAAUGAUUCCUCCUCAGUCCUCAUUCCUUGUACUAACCUAGCUAUGGCCCAGGGCCAAAUUGACUCUCUCAUUACCAUCAUUGAGCUGAUAAAAAAGUAAAUAAAGAUGAAUGAUUAUAGUACUCAAUUAAGAAAACUUAGAUUGUGUUUUAAGCUGACAAGAAGAUCUGAUGAUAGAUACACACACACACACACACAUAGCUGGAAUAUAUAUACCCACCUAUGGAUCAGUAUAAUACACACGACACAAAACAUUAGUCAUAGAAAGAAAAUGAAAGAAUUUGAAAGAAAAUGAAAAUGUUAUCAUAUAUAUGAAUGUGUGUAUAUAUAUAUAUAUAUAUGUGUGUGUGUGUGUGGAUCACAGUAAUGCUCUCAAUUUGUGUGUUUGGUAUAGAACCGAAAUUCAGUAGUUGGUCAAAGUUUCUGAAAGAGAUCGAGACAGCACCAACCAUUAUGGUAAAUCAGCAUACAAUGGCAGACAUUAUAUAUCCCCAAAAUGUAGGAGAGCAAUUUGUAUAGGGCAAGUACAUCGUUAUAUAUUAUGGUGUUUCAUGUCAAUGAAACAAUGUUAACGUCACAUAGAGAAAAACUUAAAGCCUUCUCCAAAUGUAAAGAAUCAUCAGAUGAAAAACUGAACGAUGCAUGUCAAAGCUUAGCUGUUCUCAUAUAUACAUGUGCGUGUGGGUGUAUAAAUAUAUAAGCACUGAAAGCAUAUUCAAAAUAAUAUACAGCUCUAUAAUUAAUGGCUCUGGUAAUGCAGAUGGAGAUGAAUGUCUUCAAAAUUGACAAAUUAAAACAUAUAUAUAUAUAUAUAUAUAUAUAUAUAUAUAUAUAUAUAUAAUCUCUAUGAGUACUGGAUACUAAAAAAUCAUAUAUUCAAGCUUUCAAACACAUACUACAAUUACAAUACAAGUCUUACAAGCAUCAAGGUAAUGAGAACAUGACAGCAACAUGAUAUAUUUGCUGCAUCCAUAUACUCAAAAAACAGAAAUAUAUAAUUAAGAACUAAAACUGAAAAAAAGAUAAAAAUAAAUAAACAAAGGAGAUUAAAAGGAAAAAAAAAAGUGAUCGAUCGGACCAGGAGAGCUUCAUUCCCCCGUUAAUGGAUGCUAUAUAUCCAUCAUCAGUGUAUCAUUCUUGGGUUGGACUUGGAGAGACCCCAAAGUUCUUUAAAUGGCAGUUCCAAGAAACACCCAUGUAUAUCUCUUGAAAUUGAAACUGAGGAGAAACCCUAGUUUGCUUCCACUGCACUGGACCGCCAUAUAUUUCAGAAACAAUUCCCACAUCGUGAUCAUGAGAGAGAAGAUAUGCAGCUGAGGGAGUGAGAGAGGGAAAGCAGCAGAGUUAGAGUAACUCAGAGAAUACGGUAACAUGGUACAGAUAUAUAUAGCUUUAUAUUGCAGAGAGAGAGAGAGAGGGGUGAAAUAUUGUGAAGCACGCAUAGUGUGGACUGUGGAAGUGUGGAGACCUAAUCUUAUAUUCCCGCAUGCAGGAUUUCUCUUUUCAAUGAACAGUGCUAGAGGGCACGUUUCCACAGGGAAAAAGGAACACCCAACAAAAGGGGAGACGACACACUCACACAGUGGACUGUGGAGGCAAAUGUGUUCCUGUGUGUUCAAUUUUUAGGGUUUACAUUUUUGUGAAGGCAAAGCAAAGUAGCAAACGUAAAGCAUGAUAUAUCGGUGCCCCAAGGGUGGGGCUAGCUAGCUCCUUAACCCUUGAAAAAAGGGUCUUUAUCUAUGUAUAAUGUAUGGUGUUUGAAUUUUUGGCUCUUCUCUCUUUUAUCUUUUGGUCGGCUCGUAUCCAAAAGGGUUAUAAUUUUCUUUUUGGUUGCCUUUCAUAUGCUUUUGUGUAUGGUUUGAUUUAGAUUUACUUUGUUAUUUUCAAAACCUUAUGAGAUUAUUAAGUUACAAAUAUCAGAAAUUUACGUAGUUGGAUCAAGCUGGUUUCACCAUCUAAACUUCAUUAACACGCAUUUAGACCAAAGCUAAUUAUGCCUCAUCAUGUGCAAAUUGAUCGUUAACAUCCAUCUUCUUUCCCAACCUACACGAUAUAUCAAUAUAAGAAUUUUUGUGGUGAGGGGUUAACUGCAUUUUAUUAAGUGUAACUAUAUCGUCGAUAUUGACGAAUAUAACAAUUUUAUAGUUGACAAGUAGGGAUAGCUACGGUUCGGUUUGGAGACGAAAAUGCUAUAUUCAUCCCCAUAACCACAAAAAUUAACCAAAUUCAUAACUGCCAAUUAAUCAUCGGGUAUUAUCUAUAACCAUACACACCGGAUAACGAAUUCCCCAUCGAUUAACGAUUAUACCCAUCUUUGUCAAUACAAAAAAUAUAUUCGUUCAAUUGACGCAUGAUAAUUUAGUCAAUAUUUAUUUCGUCAUUAAGUAUUUGAGGUAUAAAAUGAUUUAAUGAAUGGAUCUUGUGAAGCAUAAAAAUUAAAGCUAAACAUUGAUAAUGUGGGCUGAUCUUUGAUAUCUUGUAUAAGUACUAUUGGUCUGGAUUCUCAUAGAUUUUGAUUCAUAUCAAAACUUUUUAACUUGUCCACAAAAGGCAACUCACAAAGUGCAACUUUUGUAGUCUCGAGGUAAUGGAAUCAGUGAAUAAUAAAUAAAUAAAUAUAUAUAUAUAUAUAUAAUUCGGUUUGGAUUCGGGGAUGGAACAGAUUGGGGACCCCUAUAACCAUAAUAUUAUUCACGGUUUUUUCCCAUAUCCAAAAUAUACCCGAAUUUUCAUACCAAAAUCCAAUCAAUUCGAACGAUUAGAAUAGGGAUGAACAACGUCAAUAAAUGUGACUACGAAGUAAUUAGCUUUAACGGAGAGGAACUAUUUAUAUAAAACCAUAAACUCAUUUUUUUUAUAACUAUAAAUACAUAUACGAACCCCUUCUUAACAAAAAUAUAUAGACCCCUAAUAUUCUACAACCAUAACUGGCAAAAGAAUAUUGAAUAAUAAACCAUCAAUAUAUUGUCAAUAGGUCAAUAUACACGCCAUACAACGGUGCUAAGAAGACAUCCCACUCCGUGAAGAGUAAAACGAAAUCCCUACUAAGAAGCUGGUCAUAUAUACGCAUGUCAAAAUCCUUGUGUAUGAUAUAUUUGGAAGGCUCAACAUCAUCUUAUAUGAACCUCUCUUUGUUAGUUGUGUGUUCUAUUUGUCUUGACAAUCGCUUAACACACCUCUAAAGUCCCAAGCCAAGAACUAUAACUGCGUCUCUAUCAAUGGCUAGUCUCUCUCAAUGUACACCCCAACGGCCAUUUGCAAGUUUGCCAUUGAAAACGAAUAAAGGACCACCGUUGUUUUGUUGCGUAAGCUCUCUACUCAAUCCUUUCCCCAGUUCCACCUUCCCAUUCUCUCCCGUAAUAAAUCGACACAUGUACUAGACUUUGCAGAACUUCCUCGCACGCCCGUUGAGGGAAAAGGGCGGGUUCCCGGUUCACUUUUGUGACCGACACCAACUUCGCGUGAAAGGAAAUGAAGUUGGGGUCCAUGAAAUUACACAAAUAAUUAAUCACUUAAACUUAAAAUCAUUUCGUCAUACAACAUGUUCAAAGAAGAUGUUCAAACACUUAGGUAGACUGUUUUGAGAAAAUAAAAAGUUGAUUUUCUAGUUUCAAAGAAAAUGUCUAAGUCCUACAUGGAUUGACAUUCUCUACUUUGCUGUCAAAUUCGAAGGCAACAUCAAAAUAUUUUUUUUGUUUUAUUUUAAUGUUUUGCCCAUAUAUUUAUUUAUUGAUUAUUUUAUGAGAAAUUUUAUUUGAACCUAUGUAACCUCUUUUUACACCUAACUUACUAUUUUCACCCAUAUUACUUUUAAGUAAACUACCAAUAUCUUUUUAAACCCAAAUUUUCUACCUAAACUACCCUCACAAAGUUAAUUCAAUUUAUAAAUUUUUCUCUACACCCAUUUAGAAAAUACAAAUCCUAAAUUUGCAAACAAAAGUCCAUUUCAAGUUAGGACUACGAAAAAAUUGACAAAUUCAUAAUCUAAGCAAUAUAAUUGUCCUUGCAAUUAUAUUAUAAUAGGGUUACCAAUCAAUAAUAUUUCUUUUUCUUUUUCAAUUACCAAGCACUGGGGUUUUUUUGGAGAGAGCUCAUCAAAGUUGAAAUCAAACCACCUACUGAAGCAUAGCCCUUUUCUCCAUGGUUUAAAAUCUCUCUCAUUCUCUAGCUCUCUCUCUUCCAUUCGUUUAUUAACAUUAGUUCAGUCAAUUAGGUAUAUUGUUACUAUUUCACAUCUAAAAUGGCUUUAUCAAUUCUUAAAGGACUUCUCAGGCGAAGUUUCAUAUAAUCUAUCCAUAGAAGUGCAUGAAGUUUCAAUGGUAGCCAGUUUCAUAGCUUGAAUGAAUCCUGUCUCACCUUUGGUACUGUAGUGAUUUAAUCAAACGAAAGAACCAUGCAUACACUAGAAGGCUGGAUGAGACCAUUACAUAAUUAUUUGGAUGAAAUAAGGGGUGAUGGUAGAAUUUAAUUAUAGAGUGGGUUUAUUGAUAAGUUUUAGUUUUAUUGUUAAUUUCAUUUUGUAGUUUAUGGUAAUUAUGUAAUAAAGUAAAAAAAGAUAAUUAAAAUUAAAGUUUAAGUUGGGUGUAGAAAGAGGUUAUACGGGUUCAAAUAAAAUUUCCCUUAUUUUAUUAGUAAAUUUCAGACCCCCUUGAUUUUAUAAAUACUAAAGAAAAACAUUUUAAUUUGACAUUUUAGUUGGAAUAGGAGAUUUGGCAAACUAUUAUUUGCCACAUCAGCUAAAAUUAAAAUUUUCCAUUUUAAUUUAACAUCUCUAUUGGAGAUAGUCUUAGUAUUACGAUUGAAUAAUAUUUUUCUUUACUUGUAAUUGAUAGGUUUUAAGUUUGAAUAUUAUGAAUAUCAAGUUUGAAUCCACAAUAUAUUGACACUAAGGUUGAAGGAAUAAAUUACUUGUACCAUUGAGUAGUACUAAUGUAGCCGGACUAGUUUAGACUUGACAUUAUAUUAUUAAGGGUGAAGUGUCGAUUUAGUCCCUAAACAAUCACCUCAGUGAAAAUUAGGUCCCUAAAUUAUUUGUUCGGUAAAAUAAGUCACUGAACUAGUUAAUAAUUGCUAAUUUCAUCCCUUCUACUAUAUUCAAAGAUAUUCUAUCCAAUUUUUCGUCAACUUAAGUCAUUGACACACUUUACAAUGUAAUACUGUCAUUUUCUCGCCUAUAAGCCCUUAACAUUUCAUAUAGGUUGUAAAUUUAACGUCUAAUUUACCCUCCAAAGUUAACUCCAUACACUAUUUUUCUAUGGAAAAUUACCAAUCUACUAUCUAAUGUGUAUCACAUACAAGUAACGUGACUUAAAUUAACGAAAAGUUAAAUAUAGCAGCUUCGAAUCUAAUAUUAGGGAUGUAAUUGGUAGAUUUUUAUAAUUCAAUGACUGAUUUUUCUGAAGAAAAAAAAGUUUAGAAAUCUAAUUUUCAAUCAAGUAAUUAUUCAGGAACUAAAUUAGCAGUUCACCCUAUUAUUAAAGUGAUAGUACAUGGGUCGCAGAAGGUGUGAAAAGCCCAUGGGUUCCCAUUUAGGCCUAUCAACAUAUGACCCAAGAGAAAACAAACUGCAAGUCCGCAUUUGACCCAAUUACAUUCGGGUUGACCCGAAAAGUGCUUAAACCCUGGAAAUCCCCUGGUUCAUAUCAACGUCUCUGCUGUUUGUCUCAGUGAGAAGUUUAGCAGCCAUGAAUCGAGCAAAGGCGGCGUUUCUCACUACCCGCCGAUUCGCCAACUCGCUCGCGGCGACUCGGUUCGAUGUCAUAGCUCCGCUGCUUUAUUCUCAGGUGACUCAGUCCUCUCACCUCUCUCACUUCCUUUCAAAUCAAUCCCACUUCCUCAACACCCAUCAAAAGCUAUUCUUUUCCUCGACCCCCAACUCGGUCCUGCAACUCGUUCUGGCCAACAAAUGGUCCGCCGAGCUGGAGACCGAGUUAUCGGAGUCGUACCCAUCACCGACCCACGAUGUAGUAAUCUAUGUUUUGAAGAAAUUGGAUAAAGACCCACGAAAAGCUUGGGAUUUUUUCAAUUGGGUCUGCGAGAAAGACGGAUUUAGGCCAAGUUCUUCGGUGUUUAGCUUAAUGCUUAGGGUUUUAGUGCAUAAGAAUUCGAUGAAGGAGUUUUGGAUUGCUCUGAGGAAGAUGAAAGAGCAGGGAUUUUUCAUUGAUGCGCAAACUUAUAUGGCGAUUAGAGAGCAGUUGAAAAAGGGGAGGAUGGAUAGUGAUGUCGUGGCUUUCAAGCAUUUUUACGAGAGGAUGGUCGAAGAUAACGCGGCGGAUGAGGUUGUGAAGAGCGUGGUGGAUGUUGUUUCGGGGUCGGAGUGGAGUGAUGGGGUUGAGAAAGAAUUGGGGGAGAUCAAACUUGAGUUAUCAGAUCAUUUUGUCAUUAGGGUACUGAAGGAACUCAGGACUCGCCCGUCGAAGGCCUUGAGGUUUUUCCAUUGGGUUGGUCAGUGUUCCGGUUAUGAACACAAUACAAUUACAUACAAUGCAGUUGCGAGGGUUCUUGCGUGGGCUGAUUCGAUGGGGGAGUUUUGGAGUGUGAUUGAGGAGAUGAAGGCUGCAGGUCAUGAGCUGGAUUUGGACACUUAUAUAAAGAUUACACGGCAGUUUCAGAAGAGCAGGAUGAUGGAGGACGCGGUGAAGCUGUAUGAGCUCAUGAUGGAUGGCCCUUACAAACCUUCUGCUCAGGAUUGCAUCAUGCUUUUAAGGAGCAUCUCAGGGAGUGAUAAACCGGAUCUGGAUAUGGUUUUUAGAGUUGCAAAGAAGUUCGAGUCUGCGGGGAAUACACUCUCCAAGCCUGUUUACGAUGGGAUUCACAGGUCUCUGACAGGCGCAGGACGAUUUGAUGAAGCGGAGGAAAUUAUGAAGGUUAUGAGAAAUGCAGGGUACGAGCCGGACAACAUUACAUACAGCCAAUUGGUCUUUGGACUUUGUAAGGCCAAGAGACUCGAAGAAGCCUGCAAUGUGUUGGAAGAAAUGGAAGCAGACGGAUGCGUUCCUGAUAUCAAGACUUGGACCAUUUUGAUUCAAGGGCAUUGCGCCGCUGAUGAAGUUGACACAGCGCUGAUUUGUUUCGCAAAGAUGAUGGAAAAAGGCUGUGAUGCGGAUGCUGAUCUGAUGGACGUGUUGAUAGAGGGGUUCCUUAGGCAGAGGAAGAUAGAUGGUGCGUAUAAACUGCUUGGCGAAAUGGUGAAAAAAGCUCGUUUAGUGCCUUGGCAAGCCACAUACAAAAAUCUUAUCGAAAAUUUGUUAGAGGUUAGAAAACUCGAAGAAGCAUUCGAACUUCUUCAUUUGAUGAAGAAACAGAACUACCCACCUUAUCCAGAGCCUUUCGUCCAAUAUAUAUCGAAGUCUGGUUCUGUGGAGGAUGCUGCAGACUUUUUCAAGGCAUUGACUGUUAAGGAACAUCCAUCAUCUGCAGCGUAUGUCCACGUUUUGAAAGCAUUCUUUAAGGAAGGUAGAUACACCGAGGCCAAAGAUCUGCUUCAUAAGUGCCCUCAUCAUAUUCGAAUGCAUGGUGAAAUUUGCAAGCUUUUUGGUUCUAGGGAAGGCAAGCAGAAGCGGAAUACUACAGAAGACGGAGGCAAGCAGAAGCAAGCUAGUAAGGAAGGCAAGCGGAAGCAGACUACUACCGAAGGCAAGUAGAAGCGGACUACUACUUGACUUGUACACAGAUAGUUUCUUGUAAUAAUUUCAUGGUUAAACCCAUGAGUUUUGUAACCUCUACUCAUUUUCCAAGCCUACCAUACAUUGUUCUUAAAAUCUAAUGAAUCAACUAAGUUUUCCAGACAAGAUUGUCGUCUACACCGAAUUGAUUACCUGUUUUGUGCCAAGAACUCGAACCUUGCCUCUUUUUUUCCGAUUUGUUUUUUGGUACAGAUUCUUGUAUGAAUUAUCUUCAUCACAAACGGAAGCUACUAAUGUGAUCGUUUGCAGUAAGCGUAAAAAUACAUGGGUCACAAGAUGUGAAAACUAUUCAGUUCAGUCAGGUAGCUCAGAACGCUCCCUCCUAGCCGUAUCUGUCAUUGUACUCAAGAACUUGCUAGGGUCGCAACCGUAAGGAUUUGCAAGAGCCGCAUGUGCUAGGAACGGAAGCUUUCUUAAGGAUCGCCCACUCAAUCCCUAAAGAAACCAGAGACGAAAUCAAUUAUCAGAUAGAUUGAAAGGGGCCUAACAACUUUAGAAGACAUUGAAGAAUCUGUUCCUGACCUCGCAUGCUUCUGCAGUUUCGAACAAUUGUUUACACAGGUGUAGUGGUGUCUGGGCAUCUUGUACCUCAGGCAUAUUCAAUUUCUCUCUCAAGCUAGCAAAGUUAGGAAGCAUGCUAUCACAAUCCUACAAUUUACAAUUUCAUUAGGAAUUUGGCUUGGAACUUUCAAACAUAUCAGAACAAGGUUAGACAGACAAAUGCACCUCUAGAUGUGAUAAAAUUCCUGUUCGUAUAAGCUCAUGCAAGCAGGAUCUUAGGAUUUCAUAACGCGCUUGCAAAGUUGGGGGACCAACAUAUGCUUUGAUAUCAGCUCGAUCAACAAACGCAAUAUCUGCAAUCCAAGAAAUGGUAAAUUCAUACAUACUAGGAUGGUGAAAGUUAUCUUUUUUCCACUUCCACAGAGAAAAUAAAGUAUUUCUCUUUCCCUAGCUUGUCAGAACCACAGAGAGCUCGGGACUUCGAGAGAGACUAUUAGUAUUAGCGAACAAGAUAGAGACUAAACUGUUUAAUAUAGGGGAAAAAGUACAUUAACUCUUUGCAAACCACAGUUUACCACUCCAAUUUACAGAUGAAAAUGGUAAGCAAACCUAGAGAAGUUCAUUUAACAUGUUAGGAAAUUGAUUUGUGGCCUUACCAAUAGCAGCAGUUAUGUUGGAUGUUGUCAGAAUUAUAACAUUUGGUGCUGAUUUCAAUUUAUCCAGCUGAGUUAGUAGCGCAUUCACUACCUGGCAUGUCAAUUUUUAGGUGUUAUUUGGACCCAAACUGAGCUAUUCUGAACUGUAUCGUACAUGUUAAAUGUAAAUUGUAUGCAUUAUGUUCAGCCAAAAAAGUUUAGAAAGUAGUCUGGAAUACGAGGGCGGAAGUACAGUACCCGAAUAGAAUCUGAAGGUUCGGAGCCAGAUAAAGCAGCUUUUCUAGCAGCAGCAAGGCUUUCAACUUCAUCUGCAACAUCACCGUACAUUCAUAAAUUAUAAUCCAGAUGGAAGAAAGAUUAACGGAUGAAAACUCACAAUGAAAAUAAAUCUCACCAAUCAAAACAAAUACCAGAUUGCUUUCCUCCUCUACCAUCUCCUGAAUUUUUGAGAAAAGAUUUGCAACCUAAGAUUGAGAAAUAUGUUAAUGAAAACAGAGAACUUCAUGUACCAAAUCCAACUCUUGUUUACAAGGAGCAAAAGCAUCUUUCAAGACUUAAUUCAACUACAUACCAACUUGCCACUCUCAGAGAACCAUUUACUGAACAAAGAAUGUGCAUUAACUUCAAUCAACUGGCAUUGUGGGUAUCUGCAAAGUAUAAAAUAAUGAGUCUUGCAUUCUAUUCACUCGCAAAUCCAUCUAGGAAACAUAUGCUCAUAUGAACAAGACAAUACAUCAUGAACAAACCUGGAGUUAAACCGAAUGGAUAGUUUUUGAGCCAGCGCUUUACAUAGAGAAGUUUUUCCAGUCCCUGGAGGUCCAUGUAAAAGAACAAUGCUGCAGAGGGACAAGAACAAUCAUACGGGUGCUAAACAGAAAUUCCUCAGUAAUCAUAAAAGUUACAAGCAUAUGUGUGCAUACACGAAAUCAACAACAUUUCCUUACCGAUUCCAUGACACAAGGAAAGGAUUGACGCCCUUCUCAGUGAAAAGCAAUGCACUAGCCGCAUACCGCACCAACCUUUGCUUGAGACCUGAUUCAUAAAUUAAACUGCAAAAGUGAGAGCACGUCACAAUCAGUUCAUUUCAAAGUACUACUGUAGAGAAAAUUAGAGAAGCUGAAAAUCAACCUUUCCCACAAGCCAUCGAAUUCAUUUGCAGGAAGAAUCCAUUCGUUGAAGGUGGAAGGUUGUCCAUCCCCACUUACAUCCUCACAUGCUCCCUCUUCGCUAAGCUGACAAAGCACAUAGAAGCAAGAGAUUAACACUUAAAUAGAUAUCGAGUCCCAAAGUAGUUCAGCCCGUACACCUAUUACCUGAAAAACAUGCACAACAGGCUUCACUUGCCAGAACAAAAGGAUGUCAUGGUUUUGCACCCACUCAUCUACAAAAAAAAAAAAAAAAAAAAAGUUCCAGCAUCAGAACCGGCUUCAACUUAAACUUGCAUCCUCAUCCUCCUUUAUGCAUUCCACAAAGUAUUAGAAAUUUUUGCAGUAAGAUUUCCAUUUUUUCAGAUGAAAAUUUGCAGUAUUGACUAUAGCUGAUCAUCAAGUUUCACAAUUUCUUCACUUUGCCUUCAAAACUUUUCGUAACCCUCCAUGACUAAUUCAAAGAUAAAGGAGGAUACCCGUGUCACAAAUACAGAUUCUUUGCACAUUUUCUGUCAGAAACUGAUCAUCAAGCGGCACCGGCACAGGUCCGUCAGUGUAGCUCAGACUCCUCUUUUCAAGCAUUCUAAGCAAUUGAGAAAGAGAAAAAAUAAACCGAAUUCAAACCACAUUAUGUUAAUCCUAAUCUCUCAUUGUCGAACUCUUCAAAACUGUUAAGCUAAGCAGGCAUUUCAUCAAACACAUAAGAUCCAAUUGAGAAACAACCCAAAAAUCACAAUGUAAUAGUUAAAUAAACGAGUUUAACAGCACACCUCUCUACAGCAGACCGCACAUCGUCAGCCCGAGCUGUGCUGGAGGGCUUGAGGCUGACUUCCACUGAAACCCACAAUCAAUUUCUUUUAAAGAAAGUAAAUUUACAACUAAAUCGUCAGCACAACCUCAAAUUGAAACAAAAUUGAAUCUCAAAAAAUAAGAACAACAACGAAUCGAAGUCAAAAACGACGCCUUACGCACCUGAAACGAGGACUUUGUCUUGGGGAAGAAUGGGAGAAGGAGCUGAGUCUAUUGCGACGGCGCCGUUUUGGUCUGGGACAUCGACGUCUUGGGGGUUUUGCAUAGAGACGUCCAUGGGACUGGGAGCGCUCAUUUUGGGGGGGGGGGUUUAGGGUUUAGGGAGACUAUGAAGUGGAAAGCAUCGGAGAAUGAAGAGCAGCUUGGAGAAUGGAGGAGAUGAGCCAAACCCUAGAGCCCAACAGAAACCUGGGAAUUUGUUCUUACAAAUGAGCGGGAAAACUUGAAGGAAUAUAACUGAAAAAGCUUUUUAUAAAAGUGUGUUGGGUUUCAAAAGUAUUUUCCUCCAAAAAGUAUUAAUUACGUGCUUCCGGUAGGAAGCAUUUUAAAUGUCCUUUUAGGAUUUAUUUGUAUUUUUAUUAAAAAUUGACUCAAAAAAUACUCUUAUAAAAACGUUUUUAGUUAUUUUAAAAGCACUUCAAAACGAGCUCAUAUGUAUUAUACAUUUUUCCUUCUCCCAAAAUGAUCUGUCAUGAGCCACUUAAUACCACAGUUAGUGGUAUUCUUCUUCACUUGUAAGUAACAUGUCUUAGGUUCGAUUGUCGUCAAAUGUGAUUUGAACCACAUUAUUAUGAUUAGUCCAUUGUGAGGGUGGAGCUUUAACUCAUUCCUCCAUCCCUUAGUGUAGAUACUAUUGUUCAAAAAAAUAAAGAAGGUUUUUCAUAAAUAAUUUUUGGAUUGUUUUAAUGAUACCCACAAAUUGUUAACUACACCCUACAUAAUGAAAACAUCUCGUAUUUAUUUUUUGAAUGAAAAGUUAUUUUAAUAACCCAUUUUAACUUUCCAAAAUACUCUCGCACCACACACGUCCAAAAGUCUAGUUCAAGUUGGUCGAAGAGUUGUCAUUUAGUACUACGGUGUAGUGGUAUUCCUCUUCACUUGUAAGUGAGAUGUCUUAGAUUUGAUUCUUUCCAAUGAAUUUGAAUCACAUUAUUGCUAGCCCAUUAUGAGGCUAAGUCCAUCUCUCUUCCUUAGUGUAGAUAAUAUUGUUUGUUAAAAAAAAAUUGGUCGAAGAGUUUUACAAACACAUGAUUCUUGUCUUCAGAAAGUCAUCUUUUAUGCACAUCACUAGUGUUGUUUCAAUUUGGGUGUGUUUUAGAUCGUUUCAUAUGAAAAGAAAUUUUGGAGUUUUCAGGUAUAUGUCAAUUUGGAGUUUUCAGGUUUAAUCAAAUUUGGGGUUUUAGGGUUCUAUCAAGAGACGAUCAUCUGUUGCUGAUGAACGAAUUUUUGGCAAUGUCUAAGUGAUGAUCGUUGGCUAGUUUGCAGUAGAAGAAGAACAUGGUAAUAAAACUACGUUAUCAGACUGCAAACCAAUGUCACCAAUAUUUCUUGGUGGUUUCGAGAAACCUCGUUACGUUUAGUGCUUUUUCCGUUUUUUUUUUUUUUUUUUUUUGGACAAAGGUAAUUUUCAUUACCAAGAGAGCACAAGUACAACCAAAGGGGCCCAAUAUGUGAACCCCAAACACUAAACAAGAGCUCAACCCAAAAGAAGAGCCCAAACACAGAAAAAUAAAUACCCUAAAAGACUAGCUUCCACCCCCACUGUCGAAGAACCUGCCACCGACCACCAUCCAACAUCCCAUGCCAAAGAUCUCACCAAACAUAGCCCCAAAGAAGAAAGCUCCAGCUUCCUCCACCAAGCACCACACACAUCGAAACCGCAGCCACCAAGGAAAGAAGCCAGCGGGAAAGAAUUUUCCCCCAACAACAAAGCCGAAAACGGCAUACAAGUGGAAGAUGGUGGUGUGUACACCAUAUGAGCCGAAGCUCUGCACACCUCCUGUAUUUCAUUAACCGCAAUACAACAGAAGAAAAACAUCAUAUUAUCUCACAUUGGAUUCGACGGGUGUACUUAGAGAUUAAAGUUUUAUUUAAAAAAUAUCUACGCCUAAAUAGUCAUUUUAUAUUAUAAACAAAUAAGUUAUUUCAUGUUAAAAUUUUAAAUGAGGUGUAGUCAACAAUUGUAGAGUGUCAAUAAAACAAUCCUAAUUUUUUCUUUUAUGACUUAUAUGUUUUUAAGGGGCAAUUAGCACAAAUGAUCAGUUUUUGACAUUUGGUUGCAGAAAUUAUCAGGUGUUAUGUCAUUAUAGUGUGAUCGUUGUGUCAUCGUUGUGUGGUAGUAAAUAAAAAAUUAUCAUUUAUGGAACCAAAUGUUAUGCUAAUUGUCUUUGUUUUGCUAAGAUAUGUUUUGUUUAUAUAGGGAAAAUUUAUAACAACACAUUAUAUUCAAUGCAACUUGUAUUUCAAUCGAGUUUAAGCUCACUUGGGUUAAGUUAGAGUUGCCAAACUUUAUUGAGCUCCAUCAUGAAAUACAUUAUUUUGAAAAAAAAUUCAUAAGUUCAACUAAAUAACGUGAAUACUAAUUCAAACUAAAUUUUAAAAAUUAUAACAAAAGUUUGAUUCUUGCUAUUCUCUUCAACAUAUUUUGCAACGUCAGAAAUAGAGACUAGCCCAGCCCAUUUGCCCAUCUGUGUGUGUUUACCUCACAUGCUUGGGAAAGAUAAAAUUCUUAUGCCCACAAAAAGGAUAUGGUUGCCUACCUUAUCUCGCUUACAUGGUACCAAUUGUGAGGUUCUAGGUUGCCCAAAAGAUAACAUGGCCCAUACAAGACUUCGUUAGAUAACAAAAAACAACUCACCAUGAAACAAAAGUUACAGCUUGAAGAUGUCGACAGAGAACUUGAAAUCAUCAAGGAUGUGGCACAAGCUUGGUACAGCCACUCCGGCAACUCCCGGCCCAUGUCCGAAUUUGAUGCCCACCGGAGAAACUACAAAGGUAAGUCACCGUCCCGGUUGAAGCUUGAAGCAAUGAGAAAAUCAUCAUCAGCUAGUGCACAUCAGAGUGGUUAUGAAAAAUGGGAUUUUGGGCAGUCACUAUGGGAUGCUUAUGAGAUUGUUGCCGUGUCGAAAAGGUUAGAGACCGGGCUAGUCCUUGAUGAGUUGGAGAGUUCGGCUCGAGUCCAUCGGAGACGUAGGGAGAGCAAGCAGAGUCUUAUUAGAAGUUUUUUCAAUACAAUGUUUUCAAGGAGAUUUAAUGAGGCAGAUAUUCCACCUGAUGAGGAUACGUAAUUCGGGUCCUUCUUGAUUUUUUGCAGCGAUAUCGUUCUUGUUAGUGCAAAUUACAGCUCAAUUUUAGUAUAUAUAUAUAUAUAUAUAUAUAUAGUUUUCUUCGAAUAUUAUCUACGUUUUUUACACUGUACUUUUUUUUUCUGUGUGCGUGAAGAAAUUAUUUGUUGUCUUUCAAUAUUCAUGUGCUUUGUUGGCGAUCAAAAUCUUCGUGUUAAGCUAAACUAGAACUGGAAGUCGUAACUUUGGCAAGUGAAUAGCGUGUCCCCGGAUGUUACCACGAGUUGGUUUUGAAUGUUUUGAUUGACUUUGGAAUGAUAAAAGUUGCAAAACUAUGUUGGGAACCAAAUUAAGUUCUUCAGAUGGCAUAAGGCAUGAGGUAGCGCUGGAUUUCCUAGGAUGUUUUGCCCGUCUCACCGCAAAAACACAAAGGUUUUAGCAUUUAGCAUUAGUUCUUUUACCGUCAAUUCUCAAAAUCAUCACAAAGUGUUCGCAUUUACUUGCUGCACAAGUAAAUAUCACUCAUGCCGCUGCUGCUGCAGUUUUAUUUCAAUACGUAAAGUAGUACUAACAAUAAUAAUUAUUAAUAAUAACUUGUUUAUUUAGUAAGUGAAAUGCAUUUCACAUGACAAUUAUGGCAACCUAUUAAGAUUAAGAGCCUGUUUAAGGAAGUUUAGCAUGAUAAAAGGACAGGCACUUUAUUUAUUAGUACCGAGUAAGUUUGCCUGCCUGCCAAACAUCCAUGUCGAGGAUUCUUUGGCGCCUUAGCCCGCUUUGAACAUCCUCCACUUGCUGAGCUCAAACCCCUUGCGCUUCUGCUCGAUGUAAUCAUCCUCAUCAACAUCAACGGUUUCCUCAAAAACAACGCAAUUCCCAUUGGCAUCGCACUGCGUGACUCUCUCGGUCACUUCAACCGUCUUGUGAACUUCCGGGAUGUGGUGCUGCUUCUGCUGACGCUGUUCGUAGUACUGACCGCCGUAGUUCUCUCUUCCAGGGGCCUGGUUGUUGUAUAGGGUUUGGCCAUGAGGGUGGUGAGGGACGUCAGUGAGGACACUAGGGGUUGUUGCCAACCUAUGGACAUGGGAGUAAUAGUCUUGCCCAUUUUCGUGCUUGGUUGGGUAGCUUGGGUACCCGUCGCUUCUCCUCAUUUUGUUUUGCAAUGACAAAUUCACAAUUACGUUGAACUUGAUGCAUUAGGAGAAUGCAAAAGCUUCAAUUUAUAGGCAGAUUGGUUUGGCCUUUAUUCUAAAAUGAUAAGGGUGGUAUCUAGUUCUGCUGACGUGAAUUAAGCUAGUUUGUUAAGAUCGGUUAGAAGCGGCGUUGAGGUGCGUAAAAGGUGCAUUGGCACAUCUUCUCAAAUGUGCGUAACAGGUGCAUUGGCACAUCUUCUCAAAUUUCAAAGGGCCCUAAAAACUUUUCAUCCUCCUACCCUAUAUAUUACAUAUGAGUAAGUUUUUUAAUAAAUAAGUUUUUUUACUGUAACGAAAAAUUAUCAUCAUAUGAUUUUAUUUAUAUUACAAUCAAUUAAGUGGAGCCUAUAACCUUUUUCACUUUUCUUUAGCAAUUAAAAGAAAAAUUUGUGUAUUACUUUCUUUCUCUUUUCUCUAGAAAUAAAAAACUAACUUGUGUAUUACUUAAUUUCACAAACACAGGUGAAUUUUUGUAUCUCUCUUUCACUCCUGCUCAUUUUUUCCAUGGAUGAACCCUAAAGCAUAAUUUCGUGGAAAUUGUAGAUUAUUCAAUUGUUAAGAGUAAGAUGAUUUUAAUUAGUUUUUUUUUUCAUUAUAAGGAGGGCUUUUUUAUUAAAUUUGCACAAAGCUCCCAAAAUGUCAGGAAUGGCCCCAUUUCUUUGAGUUCAAACCCUUUUUUUUUUUUAAAUUAGAGUAUCAUCAUCUUAGCCAAAUAAAAGGGUGAUAUAUCUAGUCUGCUGACAUGAGUAAGGUCAGUUUGUUAAAGUAGUAUGUUGGCCUUUUUAUCUAAAGUUUGAAUUUCCCAUCUAUGUAAAUUAGAAUUUCAUCUUGUCAAAUAAAUAGGUGGAAUCCAACUAUGUUGACGUAGUUUUAACCAAUUUACCAAACCCAUGUGCCGACCUCCUUACAUUCGAGUUCAAAUUUUUCUCUAUAUAAAUUAGAUUAUCGUCUUGUCAAAUAAAAAAGGUAUGGCAUCUAGUUCUCAUUCUUUUUGUCUACUCAACAGUUGAUUCAAGCAUAUAUGAAUCUAAUAUUUGCUGGAAAGGGUCUGCCAGAAAUAGGAUUAUUUUCCAACGUUAAUACCAUAUCUCCUAGGCAUAAUAUUUUAAUGGGUCUCAACAUCAGUUUCCAGCUUGAUGUUGAAUGUUAUACUUAUAUAAAAUCUCAGAUUCCUAUGUGCAGUGAAGGAAUCAGAAAUUUGUGGAAAAGGGGUUGUAAAAAGGUUUCUACAAAGAAAAUAUAAAUACAUUUCUUCGAUCACUUUUUGUGGAGCAAAAAUAAUUCUAAAAAUCAUGGAGCUGACACAUGAAUUAUUUCUUAAGACAAGACUGCCCCUAUUAAAUGAGCAUAAAGCAGUCUCAUUCACCACGCGCAGCUGAGGUAGAGCAGGCAGAGAUCAACGAUUGCUCAAGGCAUCCCUACCCGUAGGAAAACUUAAGGAUAUUUAUGAUAGAAUAGUUAUUUAUUUUUAUCAUAAAUAUAUUCCUAAUUCCAUUUAUUUAUGAUAUUUACCUAAUUACUCCAAUAUUUACUUACACAAAUAUUGUCGAAUAUUCUCACCUAAAAUACCAAAUAGGGCCGGCCACCCUAGAGGGCCAGCCCAUCUUCUCAUUUUAUUCUAUAAAUACUCCAUUUCUCCAAAAUUUAGUAAGUUUGAACUACCCCUAAAGAGGCUUUUUGCUUCCCACAAACACUCAAACAUAUUAUUUUCAGAAUUCUAACUUUGGCAUCAGAGAUUCUUUGCCCAAAGCCCCCCCAAUUCAUCGUGGGCGCGUGAGGCUUUUGGCCUUAAUCUUAGGUAUUAUUAUUUUGCAGGUACAGAUUCGUCAAUCUAAUGAAAGCGGAAAUUUGAAUCCACACUUCUCACUUUAAAGAAAAUAUAAAUGAAGGAAAGACUAUUGAACGCAAAUACAAGUUAUUGGAGUCAACCGACUAUAAUGACCUUGUAAUAGCUCCGUCGCUAGCUGAUAUUUCGUGUAUCUAGUGACCUUCAAACAAGUGGUGAGAGGCGAUACAAGACUAAAUUAGAUUUUACAUUACAAUAUUUAUAAUCCGCAAUUUUUAUUAACAGUAUGAACUAUUGGUUAAGUGAAUUUUUGUUUGAAAGUCUAGUCGGGAUUUAAUCUGACAACGUAACAUGCAAAUAGCUCGAAGAUAUAACUAUUACACAUGUUAUAAGCCACUUAAGACCAAUGUUCUAAAAGACGCUAGGAGCUAGUUGGGCAGCGAACUGGGACCUAGCGCCUAGGCGGAUAGGUGGGGCUUAGGAGGACUAAUUGUAUUGUGAUACAUUAAUUACAAAAUGAAAUUAAAGAGUCAAGUAAAGUUAGUUAGAUGUUUGUUAUAAUGUUUAUUAUAAUGUUUGUUAUAAUUCUUGUGUAAAUUGAUAGAGUGGUCAAGGGUAUAAAUGUAAUUGGCGCAUAGCCUAUAUAUACUGCAACACCAGUGUAAUCUUAUGAUUAUUCAAUACAAUUGAAGCAUAUUAAAAAAUUGUGUGUACUUAGAAUUCUACAUGGUACCAAAGCCAACCGCCUCACGACCUCUCCGAUCCUGUUGCAUCAUUCUUCUCUGAUCUUCCGCUUUUCUCUUAUCUUCUUCUUCAGUGUGGUAAUUGAGUAAUUGUGUUUCAGAUUCGGAUUUUCAACUUGUUAAUCUUGAAUCUUGAUGGCGUCUCCGUCUGAUUCUUCUUCUCCGAUUGAGUCGGUGCCUCAUCCAAACCCUGAUUUUUUUUCUUCCAAUCCUAAUCUUUCUCAAUCGUACUUCUCUCACAAUCCAGAAUAUUGGCAAUAUGGUUCCGAUCAAACUCCGACGGUCCAAUUACCUGCCAUGGCAAACGUUAUUUACAUCGAUUCUUCGUUGUUACAAGCUUCUUGUAUUGUUAAUGGAACUAAGCCCUGCCCAUCGCCAUUUCUUCUUCUUGAUAGCUCGCUAAAUCCAGCCUUUGAGCACUGGUAUGAGAAGGAUCAAAAUCUGCUCAUCUGGUUCAACUCGACUCUCUCUGAGGAAGUUAUUUCAUUCACUGUUGAUGUCUCAUCUGCUCAUGAUCUCUAGCUCAAACUUGAGCAACGAUUUGGUGGUGUCUCGAAUGCCCAUAUUCAUCAAUUGCAGUCCCGACUUCAAAACAUUCAGAAAAGUUCAAUCAAUGUCUGAUUAUCUUCAGCAAAUCAAGGAGAUAUUUGAUUCCCUUACUGUUGUUGGAGCCUCUAUCACUGAUUGCGAUCUCAUUGCAACACCUCUUGCUGGUCUUCCUGAUGAAUUUGAAUCAUUCAUUGAUUCCAUACUACUUCGCCUUUUGUCCACUUCCUUGGAUGAAUUACAUGGCUUGUUGCUUACUAAAGAACUAUACAUGUCGCAUCGCAAAAAUACUUCCUCAUAUGAGCCUUUUCAGGCGUUCUCUGUACAUGCUCAACCGCCACUCAUUCCUACACCACCAUAAGCUCUUGCUGCUUAGAAUCAUGGAGCUCAGCCACUUCAGAAUUCUUUCCAGUAUAAUUCUAACCGAGGAAGACAUAAUCGUGGUUUUCGGGGUUCAAAUCGUGGCAAUCAUAACUCUGGUUACAAUCAUGGCACUCAUAAUGCUAGAUUCAAUCAUACCACAUCUUCUUCUGGUUACAAAUCUCCGUGUCAAAUUUGUGGAUCUUACAGUCAUGAAGCUAUUGACUGUUUUGAUCGAAUGAAUGCAAAGAUCUCAGGUAAGGUUCAUCUAGCUAAACUUGUUGCCAUGUGUGCUCAUUACACUACUAAGCGUUCCCAUUCUUGGCUCAUUGACUCGGGUGCUACCUCUCACAUCACCAAUGAUAUCUCCAAUAUCCAAUCUUCUACUCCCUACAAUAGUGAAUACAAGGUUUACAUUGGAGAAAGUAAAGGUAUGUCUAUAAAUCAUGUUGGCACAUUUGUUUUGCAUACUCCUGCUCAUUCUUUUAAAUUGCAAAAUGUUCUUCAUGUGCCUCAAAUGCAGCAUAGUCUACUUUCUGCCUAUCAAUUUAUCAAAGAUAAUGAUUAUUUAUUAACUCUUGAUAUUCAUGGAUCAUUUGUCAAUGAUCAUUUUACGGGGAUGACACUUUUACGGAGACAAGUUAAAGAUGCUUUCUUUCCUUUUCAAAGUUCACCUACUCCCUACAAAGCUACUCCAUCCACACAUGCUGCACUAGUAAGUACUUCUACCAAUGUCAAAAUCUGGCACAGUCAGCUUGGUCAUCCCUUUUCUGUUAUAUUUCGUAAAGUUUUGUCAACAAAUAAAGUUGUUGUACAAGACAAAUCCUCUCUGGACUUCUUCUGCAAUGAUUAUGCUCUAGCAAAGAAUCACAAGCUUCCAUUUGGUGUUCCUAGAUCUGUGUCUACUAGAAGUCUUGAAUUGUUGCAUUGUGAUGUUUGGGGACCAUCUCCUGUUGUUUUAGUGAAUGGUUAUAGGUAUUAUUUGCUUAUUGUUGAUGAUUACAGUAAUUAUAGCUAGUAUUUUCCCUUAAAGUCUAAGUCUUUUGUAUUUUCAACAUUUAUGGAGUACAAGUCCUAUAUAGAAAAUACUCUUGGCAAUAAAAUCAAGGUUGUUCGAUAUGAUUCAGGGGGGGUGAGUUUACUAGUCAUCAAUUUCAUAAUUUUCUUAAACUUCAUGGUAUUUUCCAAUAAUUUAGCUGCUCUCACACUCCGUAGCAAAAUGGAUAUGUUGAAAUGAAGCAUCAUCACUUGGUUGAAAUUGCACGAACACUAUUGGUUGCAUCUAAAGUUCCUCAUGUUUUCUGGGUUGAAGCAUUUUCCAUUGUAGCUUAUUUGAUUAAUCGGCUUCCUCUUGGUGGGUUACUGUAAUCCCCUUGGGAACUUCUUUUUGGUACCCCCUCCAAAUUAUUCUCAACUUAAAACUUUUGGUUGUGGAUGCUUUCCUUGGUUCAAGCCAUACACUUCAUCCGAGUUGGACAUCAAAAGUAAACAUUAUGUCUUUUUAGGGUAUAAUCUUCAACACAAGGGGUAUCGUUGUCUUGAUCCAGUUACCCAAAGACUGUACAUAUCAAAGCAUGUGCUAUUUGAUGAAACCAAUUUUCCAUUUCAUUCUAUAUCAAUUGCUACACCAAGUUCUACUAAUGGUUAUUCAACAGUGAAUCCCAAUGUUAAUUUACACUUUACUAUACCCAUUUCUCCUCAAGCACUUGUUGCCCAUCCUACCACCAGCAAUGUACCUGCUGCACAACAUCUUUCUCCAACAUCUUCAGGUUCAUAAUCUGUCACUUUGGAUGCUCAUUCUUCCCUUGCACCUCCUACAGUCUCUUACCUGCAACUCCCAAUAUACAUCCUAUGAUCACUAGAUCCAAGGCUGGAAUCUUUAAACUAAAAGCCUACUCAGCUACCAAGCAUCUUUUACCUGCAUCUGUUGAUUUUAUCCCCAAUACUUAUCUUCAAGCUUCCAAACAUGCUCAUUGGAGAUCUGCUAUGAAGGAUAAGUACAAUGCCCUACAAUCAACAGAUACUUGGUCUUUAGUCCCUUUUAGACCUCAUCAAAACAUAGUUUGAUGUAAAUGAGUUUUUCGAGUUAAGAAGAAUCCAAAUGAGACUAUUGAUAGAUAUAAAGCCCGGCUUGUGGCCAAAGGCUUUUAUCAGCAAGCUGGUUUAGAUUAUAAAGAAACAUUUAGUCUUGUAGUAAAGCCAGUACCAAUUCAAAUUCUUAUUUCUUUAGUAGUUCAGUACGAUUGGUUUCUCAACCAAUUGAACAUCAAUAAUGCAUUUCUGCAUGGGGAUCUUCACGAAGAUGUCUAUAUGCACCAACCACCUGGUUUCAGUGAUCCUAACUACCCCAAUCAUGUCUGCAAACUUCGAAAAUCCUUGUAUGGCUUGAAACAAGCCCAUCGGGCUUGGUUUGACAAAUUAUUUGCAGUUCUCAAGUCUAUGGGGUUUCAUCAAUUACAAUAUGAUGCUUCUCUAUUUGUAAUCAAAGAAUCUGUUCUUGUUAUUGUCUUGGUGUAUGUCGAUGACAUACUUGUCACAUGCCCUAAUUCUGCAGCUUGUCAACAAUUUAUUUAGAAAUUAGGUGCUAUCUUUCCUGUGAAAGAUUUGGGACCCUUGCAUUAUUUCUUGGGUCUUGAGGUUCAAAGAUCUUAUGUAGGUCUCUUCUUACAUCAAAGCAAGUACCUUCUAUACUUGCUUCAAAGACACAUAUGGAAGGUGCUAAACCAUGUCUCACUCAUAUUGGCUCUCUCAAACUUGAUCACACAAGCCCUUGUUACUUGAUCCCAAAGAGUACAGGUUUAUUGUUGGUGCACUGAAAUACUUAACUUGGACACGACCUGAUUUAUCUUUUGCUAUAAAUCAAGUCUGUCAAUUUAUGCAUGCUCCACGAGAACCACAUCUCCAAGUAACCAAAAGAAUUCUCCGGUUUCUCAAAGGCACAGUGAUUCAUGGUUUGUGGUUCAAGAAAGGUGUUAUCUAUCUCAGUGCUUACUCUGACGCUGAUUGGGCUGGAUGUAUAUUUGAUAGAGAUCUACUAGUGGUUAUUGCAUAUUUCUAGGGUCAAAUCUCAUUAGCUGGAGUGCUAAGAAGCAACCAACGGUUGCUCGGUCCUCCACCGAAGCAGAAUACAGAUCAUUAGCUCACACAGCAGCUGAAUUAACAUGGAUCUGUAAAGUGUUCAAGGAUAUUGGUCUCCAUCUUCCUCAUGUUCCUCAUCUCUGGUGUGACAAUAUUUCUGCAAUUUCACUUGCUUCUAAUCCAGUUUUUCAUGCUUAAACCAAGCAUGUUGAACUUGAUUACCAUUAUAUCUGAGAGUUGGUGUUAGCUAAUCUUCUCAAGGUCUAAUAUGUGUGCACUCAGGACCAACUAGCUGAUAUUCAUACUAAAUCUUUGUCUAAAUCCAGGUUCUUAUACUUGCAAUCCAAACUUUCUCUUGGACCUAUGGAUGCAUCCAAGUUCAACUUGAGGGGGUGUAAAGAGUCAAGUAAAGUUAGUUAGAUGUUUGUUAUAAUGUUUGUUAUAAUGUUUGUUAUAAUGCUUGUGUAAAUUGAUAUAGUAGUCAAGGGUAUAAAUGUAAUUGGCACAUUGCCUAUAUAUACUACAGCACCAGUGUAAUCUUAUGAUUAUUCAAUACAAUUGAAGCAUAUUCAGAAACUGUGUGUACUUAGAAUUCUACAGAAAUUGCAUACAAAUUAUAAAGUAUUAGAACAUAUUGCAAAAUGAACGCUAUCAAUUUUCUGUCUAAGUGAGAGUCACGAACUAGUCGGGUGUGUAAAUUGAUAUAGUAGUCAAGGGUAUAAAUGUAAUUGGCACAUUGCCUAUAUAUACUACAGCACCAGUGUAAUCUUAUGAUUAUUCAAUACAAUUGAAGCAUAUUCAGAAACUGUGUGUACUUAGAAUUCUACAGAAAUUGCAUACAAAUUAUAAAGUAUUAGAACAUAUUGCAAAAUGAACGCUAUCAAUUUUCUGUCUAAAUGAGAGUCACGAACUAGUCGGGUGGCUAGGUAGGUUUAAGUCGGCUAGGCGGGCACUUAAGUGGGCUAAGCGAACACCUAAGCAGGUUUAGGCGUACUUUCUUAAUUUUCAAACACCUAUAGACUAAUCGAAGCAGUGGCUAACCGGCUAGCGCCUAGGCAGCGUUAGGCAAGAAUUUUUAAGACGGUGUGCUUAAGACAUUAAAAAAGAACCCAAAAGUGAACAAAAUGGCACUAGCAACCCUUCCCAUCUCUCCCGCCAAACCCACAACUGUCGUAACUACCAUCCCCCAGUUUCCACACAAUCCCAAAACCCUAAUUCUUCAGCAAUGCAGAACCACCGGAGACCUCAACCAGGUGCAUGCCCACCUCAUCAAAACCCGCCUCCUCCUCAACCCCGCCAUCACCGAAAACAUCCUGGAAUCCGCCUCCAUUCUUCUCCCCAAGGCCAUGGACUAUGCUCUCUCCAUUUUUCACAAUGUCGACGAACCCGAUUCGUUGGCCUACAACAUCAUGAUAAGGAGCCUCAUAUACCAGCAUUCUCCUCUGGAGGCCAUUCUUUUGUUCAAGAACAUGCGCGAAAACUCUGUUGAACCUGAUGAGUUCACGUCACUGAAAGCUUGUUCAAGACUAAGAGCAUUGAGGGAAGGAGAACAGAUCCAUUCCCACAUUGUGAAAUGUGGGUUUAAGACAAAUGGGUUCAUUGAGAACACUAUGAUACGUAUGUAAGCAAGUUGUGGGGAGCUCGAUGUUGCCCGCCGGGUGUUUGAUGGAUUGCCCGAAAGGGCUCGAAUGGCGUGGAAUUCGAUGGUGGCAGGCUACUUGAAGAUCGAAUGUUGGGGAGAUGUCAUGACGCUAUUCGUUGAAAUGUUAAAAUUGGGUUUUGGGUUUGAUGAGGUUACUUUGAUUAGUGUUUUGACAGCAUGUGGGAGACUGGCCAAUUUGGAGCUGGGAGAGUGGAUUGGUGAGUAUAUAGAAGCAAAUGGGCUGAAGGGUAACAUUGUAUUAGUCACUUCUCUGGUUGAUAUGUAUGCAAAAUGUGGUCAGGUAGAUACUGCAAGACAAUUAUUUGAUCGAAUGGAUCGAAGAUAUAAUGUUGCGUGGAGUGCCAUGAUUUCAGGUUAUAGCCAAGCAGAUAGGUGCAGGGAGGCGCUUGGUCUGUUUCAUGACAUGCAGAAGGCAAAUGUGGAUCCCAAUGAGGUGACCUUGGUCAGUGUGCUUUCGUCCUGUGCUGUCCUCGGAGCUUUGGAAACUGGAAAAUGGGUUGAGUUUUAUAUAAUGAAGAAGAAAAUGAAGCUCACAGUUACCCUUGGAACUACACUAAUAGAUUUCUAUGCAAAAUGUGGGUGCGUUGAUAGUUCAAUUGAAGUAUUUAACAGGAUGCCUUUGGUAAACCUUAUCUCUUGGACAGUGCUAAUUCAAGGUCUUGCUAGUAAUGGACAGGGCAUGAGAGCGCUUGAAUACUUCCAAUUGAUGCAGGAGAAGAAUAUCAAGCCAAAUUAUGUGACUUUCAUUGCCGUUCCUUCUGCCUGUGGCCACGCAGGUCUGGUUGAUGAGGGUCGAAAUCUUUUUACCCGCAUGAGUAGAGAUUUCGGAAUUGAACCGAGGAUAGAGCACUAUGGUUCUAUGGUUGAUAUCUUGGGUCGAGCUGGUUUGAUUGAAGAGGCAUAUCAGUUCAUCAAGAAUAUGCCUAUCCAACCAAAUGUUGUGGUUUGGAGGACAUUGAUGGCUUCAUGCAGAACACAGAAGAAUGUCGAAAUUGGUGAGGAAUCGUUGAAACGCAUAACGAGAUUCGAGACCCCUCAUAGCAGGGAUUACAUUCUGCUCUCAAACAUUUAUGCAUCGGUAGGCAGGACUGAGGUUCUUCGCUGAAGACAAUGCAUGUCCACACUCCACACUCGGAGGAGGUUUACAAUGCAACUCACGACAUGACGAAAUGGAUUAAAGAAGCUGGUUACGUGCCAAACACAGCAGAUGGAAGACUAGAUGCAGAGGACGACGAUAAGGAAGCUUCGGUAUCCCACCACAGCGAGAAGCUGGCCAUGGCGUUUGGUUCGAUCAUAACAGCUCCCAGAACUGCACUUUGAACAUAAAAAAAUCUUAAGAGUUUGUACGGACUGUCACAACGCAACGAAGAUGAUAUCGAAGGUAUUUAACAGAGAAAUUAUUGUCAGGGAUAGGAAUCGCUUCCAUCAUUUCAAAGGGGGGUGUUCAAUAUUGAUCUGACUUGAUUCUGCCGGCGCUUCAACGGCGUGACUGGCGAGAUGUUCGGGCUGACGGAAAUUCGUUCUGGUUAAAUUUUCCUUUAUGUGAAUGCUCUCAACAGUUGCAAUUUUACACGAAAACAGUGAGUAAUAACUCACGCAGAUGAAUCUACGGAAACAUAACAGUUGCUUUUACACAUGCUGUUGGCAUUAAUCCAAGGUUUGAAUCGUUUUCGUGAAGUUAACGGCUUAGAAUUUCCGAGCAAAUGGAAGCCGCUUUCGAUGAAGAAUUUAAGUUGGAUUUCUUAUCCAGCAAGCAUCACAAAGAAACCGUACUCGAAAGUAUUAGCUGCUAGAUGAUCAAGAUUAUCAAAUCGGGGUUAAGAUCCUACACAUUGACAUAAUCCAGCAGAAUAUUGGACAGAUACAGAUUGGUGUGUUCAUCUGACAAUUGAACUUGAUGAAAUUCGACACUGAUCAGCUUAAACAUGUACCAUGUUAACGAAAUGUACUUAAUCGAACCAGAUUCUAGUGUUUACGACCCGAAGGACGGAGGUUAUGGACAUUCUCUUCAACUACUCAAUAACACUGGUUAAAGCAGAAGAAAAAACCUUUUGGCUUGUCUUCCAUUUCUCCUAAUUUGGGCGUCUCCCCCGAGCCUUCACGCGCUGACAUCAAGGCGCUCGUACCAGGAGACUCUGGCGGCAGGACUCUGUUCUCAGUGAAUAUCCGUGGCGGAAUGGCAGGUUUAGGAGGAGAUAUGGUGUAAAGAAAAUCUAGUAGCAUUUGAAUUAUUUGGCUGAAAUUAGGCCGGGCGUUUGGGUCCUCCUGCCAGCAUGAAGUUAGGAUGAUGUUCAACUCCUCUGGGAUGUUUUCAGAACUAGGCCUCACAUUCUGAAACGAAAAGUAUCGAAUAAAUCAUCUGGAAAAUUUAGCAGCACCGCAAGCACAUUGGAGAAAAAACUAACGUAAUUAAUGAUUGACACUGGAAAAUAUAUCGACGAGGAAGAUAUGUUUACUUUAAAGGCAGCUGCAUAGGCUGCUUGGAGAUUUGACAUGCCUUCGAAAGGCAAUUUGUUGUGCAAGAGUUCCCACAAAACAAUCGCGAAGCUAUACGCAUCCACUUUGUGGUUGUAAUGCUUUCCCUCUCCCUGCCUUAAUGUAACAGUACUGUACAGCUGCCCAAACAUAAGAAAUAUCGACUCGAAUAAGCAGGUAUUAGUGAGUGUGAUGGUUCAUGAGAAAGAGGGGGAAGUAGGGCAGUAGUACCUCUGGAGCCAUCCAACGGUAUGUCCCGGUUUCUGCAGUCAUCAUCUCUGUUAAUGACUCCUCUCUUGCCAACCCAAAAUCCGCUAAUUUAACUGUUUUGUGGUCUGCAGUCAAGAGCAAGUUCUCUACAACAACAACAACAACAACAACAAAGCCUUUUCCCACUAAGUGGGGUCGGCUAUAUGAAUCCUAGAACGCCAUUGCGCUCGGUUUUGUGUCAUGUCCUCCGUUAGAUCCAAGUACUCUAAGUCUUUUCUUAGAGUCUCUUCCAAAGUUUUCCUAGGUCUUCCUCUACCCCUUUGGCCCUGAACCUCUGUCCCGUAGUCACAUCUUCGAACCGGAGCGUCAGUCGGCCUUCUUUGCACAUGUCCAAAUCAUCGGAGCCGAUUUUCUCUCAUCUUUCCUACAAUUUCGGCUACUCCUACUUUACCUCGGAUAUCCUCAUUCCCAAUCUUAUCAUUUCUCGUGUGCCCACACAUCCCACGAAGCAUCCUCAUCUCCGCUACACCCAUUUUGUGUACGUGUUGAUGCUUCACCGCCCAACAUUCUGUGCCAUACAACAUCGCUGGCCUUAUUGCCGUCCUAUAAAAUUUUCCCUUGAGCUUCAGUGGCCUACGACGGUCACACAACACGCCGGAUGCACUCUUACACUUCAUCCAUCCAGCUCGUAUUCUAUGGUUGAGAUCUCCAUCUAAUUCUCCGUUCUCUUGCAAGAUAGAUCCUAGGUAGCGAAAACGGUCGCUUUUUGUGAUCUUCGCUAGAUUGCUCCGGUCAUUAGUGUGGAUAAGUAUAUAAAUGGAUAGAGAUAGGAAAGCAAACACAAGAUGUACGUGGUUCACCCAGAUUGGCUACGUCCACGGAAUAGAAGAGUUCUCAUUAAUUGUGAAGGGUUUACACAAGUACAUAGGUUCAAGCUCUCCUUUAGUGAGUACAAGUGAAUGAUUUAGUACAAAUGACAUUAGGAAAUAUUGUGGGAGAAUGAUCUCGUAAUCACGAAACUUCUAAGUAUCGGAGUGUGGUGUCGUCUUGACUUGCCUUAUCUGUCUCAUAGGUAGAUGUGUGGCAUCUUCUCUGGAAGUACUCUUCCUCCAUCCAGGGGUGGUAUCUUUAACUGGUGGAGAUGCACAAGGUAAUGUAUCAAUUUCACUUGAAGCUUACUUGUAGUUUCAGGCUUGGUCAAGCGCGAUACAAACCAUGUAGUAGGAGUCCCCCAAGUCGCCGAGCUAGGGGGUCUGCUGAAAGAGGUGACAGACAAGGUAAGCAAUCAGAGCUCCGACUGAUUGUUCACCUUCUCCCCAUCUUGCAGCAGCAUGAAGGAUAAAGAGAAGAAAAAUGAGAAGAGAUGAUAUGAGAUACUUUUGCUUUUGAAGAAGUAACUUUCCACAGGCUUAUUCUUGAACUGAGCUGGAGGGUUUUCUGGUUUCCUCCAGAGUAUAAGGCCGACUGAAGAAUUUGAGGGUCAAAACAAGUCCAUCAAAUCUAGAGUACGUUCCACCCUGCUGAUAUGGGAUACUUUUGCUUUUGACAGAGUAAUGGAUGUAUCGGCACGUGUGCUGUUACGCUUGUCUCCACAUGCUUCCUUGUAUCCUUCGCACUUGCCCUAUCUGUUCCUCAAGCAGAUGCGGAAUCUUCCCUGGAAACAUAAGAUGUUGAAGAUGAGUACUCGAGAGCAAUGCCAGGUAAGUAAUCAGGUAAGGGGUUCCAGGCAGUCAGUUCCUGGCUGGAAGCUUGAUUCCAAGUGCUGACUGAUUGCUCUCUUUCUCCUUGUCUUGCAGGUAAAAACAAGGCCAAAGGAAAAGACAGGGAAAAAGCAUGAUAUGGGAUACUCUUGCUUUUAACCCUGAUGAUAUGAGAUAUUCUUGCUCUAGUAGUAUAGCUUGUUUGCAGAGGUAUUAUCGGGGGGAAAGAAAGCUGAAUAUUUCGAAAGGCUUCGUUGGGAGUGCCCUCUCAGAUAUGAUGAAGGGUUGAGCAUUUUUUGCAGGUCUGCCUGUCCGUUGGGGAUGGAGGUCGACAUAUAUAGGAGUCUCCCUAACAACAAGUAGUAAUGCUAUUCCUUUACCCUGCUUGGUCAUAGCACGGUAGUGGGAGCUGCCAGUUUCACAUGUUUUUAACUCUGUCAGAGCACUUUGAAAAAGUGGUCUGUGGUAUCUGGCUCUCGAGAUUCGGAGAACGAUGCCUCUUCGAUUUUUGAGAAAGCAAUCAUGCUGGGGGUCUGGCUCUCGAGAUUCGGAGAGCAGUGUCUCUUCGAUUUUUGAGGAAGUAAUCAUGUUGGGAGUCUGGCUCUCGAGAUUCGGAGGGCGGUGCCUCUUCGAUUUUGGAGCAAGCAAUCUUGUUGGGAGUGUUGUCUCGAAUGUGAGUAAAGGUUGGGCAUGUUUGCUAGUCUACCUUGCCACGAAGCACAAAGGUUGACACACAGGGACUUUCCAAUUAUCCAGCAAUGGUACUGUUCCUUUACCCUCUCUUCGAUUUUGAGAAAGUAGUCAUGUUGGGAGUCUUGGCUCUCGAGAUUCGGAGGACGGUGCCUCUUCGAUUUUGGAGCAAGCAAUCUUGUUGGGAGUGUUUUCUCGAAUGUGAGUAAAGGUUGGGCAUGUUUGCUAGUCUACCUUGCCACGAAGCACAGAGGUUGACACACAGGGACUUUCCAAUUAUCCAGCAGUGGUACUGUUCCUUUACCCUUGUGGGUAAUAAUAUGGUAGCUAGACCUUCAAAAUUUAUGUGUCUAAACUUUGUUAGUGCUGUUUCUUUGCUAUUCUUUUACCUUUCUUGGUCAGAGCGAUGUAGUGGGAGCUGCAAGCUUCACGUGCUCAACUUUGGCAGAGAACUUUGGCAAAGUUAUCUGUGGUACCCAUGAGCUAUUGUUGCGUGUGGGAAGUGGGUGAUUGAACAGUAAGAUUCAUGUGCUUUCUACUUCACCAGAAGUCUUCGACAGAAUGCCCAUAAUUUCUGCAAAGCUGAGUGUGCGUGUGACAGGUGCUGACAAGGCUAGAAAAGUAGGUGCCUCUUCGAUUUCUGAGAUCGGCCCUCGUGGUCUCUGAGCAGCCCAGCUUUUGAGAAAGCGAGCGCCUCUUCGAUUGAUUCGGAGAACGAUGCCUCAUCGAUUUUUGAGAAAGCAAUCAUGCUGGGGGUCUGGCUCUCGAGAUUCGGGGAGCAGUGUCUCUUCGAUUUUUGAGAAAGUAAUCAUGUUGGGAGUCUGGCUCUCGAGAUUCGGAGGGCGGUGCCUCUUCGAUUUUGGAGCAAGCAAUCUUGUUGGGAGUGUUUUCUCGAAUGUGAGUAAAGGUUGGGCAUGUUUGCUAGUCUACCUUGCCACGAAGCACAGAGGUUGACACACAGGGACUUUCCAAUUAUCCAGCAAUGGUACUGUUCCUUUACCCUCUCUUCGAUUUUUAAGAAAGUAGUCAUGUUGGGAGUCUGGCUCUCGAGAUUCGGAGGACGGUGCCUCUUCGAUUUUGGAGCAAGCAAUCUUAUUGGGAGUGUUUUCUCGAAUGUGAGUAAAGGUUGGGCAUGUUUGCUAGUCUACCUUGCCACGAAGCACAGAGGUUGACACACAGGGACUUUCCAAUUAUCCAGCAGUGGUACUGUUCCUUUACCCUUGUGGGUAAUAAUAUGGUAGCUAGACCUUCAAAAUUUAUGGGUCUAAACUUUGUUAGUGCUGUUUCUUUGCUAUUCUUUUACCCUUCUUGGUCAGAGCGAUGUAGUGGGAGCUGCAAGCUUCACGUGCUCAACUUUGGCAGAGAACUUUGGCAAAGUUAUCUGUGGUACCCAUGAGCUAUUGUUGCGUGUGGGAAGUGGGUGAUUGAACAGUAAGAUUCAUGUGUUUUCUACUUCCCCAGAAGUCUUCGACAGAAUGCCCAUAAUUUCCGCAAAGCUGAGUGUGCGUGUGACAGGUGCUGACAAGGCUGGAAAAGUAGGUGCCUCUUCGAUUUCUGAGAUCGGCCCUCGUGGUCUCUGGGGAGCCCAGCUUUUGAGAAAGCGAGCGCCUCUUCGAUUUCUGAGAUCGGCCUUCGUGGUCUUUGAGCAGCCCAACUUUUGAGAAAGCAAACGCCUCUUCGAUUUCUGAGAUCAACCCUCGUGAUCUCUAAGCAGCCCAGCUUUUGAGAAAGCAAACGCCUCUUCGAUUUCUGAGCAGGCGCCUCUUCGAUUUCUGAAGCUCCGUCGAGUGCAGAUUUUUAUAGGGGCUGGACAUUAAGUUCCAAAGCACACUUGAAUCUCCACCAGUAGAAGCUUCAUUCUUGCACUUCUAAGAUCUUGAUUUGUCCGACCUCUUCUCUCUUCAACACCUUUGAAAAUGUCUGGCCCCUCCGACCGUCGUUUUGACUUGAACCUUGUUGAAGAGGCAGCCCCGCCUUCUCCAGACAACAUAUGGCGCCCAUCCUUCGUCUCCCCUACUGGUCCUCUUACCGUUGGGGAUUCCGUGAUGAAGAAUGAUAUGACCGCUGCUGCGGUGGUGGCCAGGAACCUUCUCACUCCCAAAAGAUAACAGACUACUUUCCAAACGGUCUGAUGAGUUAGCUGUUAAGGAUUCGCUGGCUCUCAGUGUUCAGUGUGCAGGUUCUGUGUCUAAUAUGGCCCAACGCCUAUUUGCUCGAACCCGCCAAGUUGAAUCAUUGGCGGCUGAAGUGAUGAGUCUCAAACAGGAGAUUAGAGGGCUCAAGCAUGAGAAUAAACAGUUGCACCGGCUCGCACAUGACUAUGCUACAAACAUGAAGAGGAAGCUUGACCAGAUGAAGGAAACUGAUGGUCAGGUUUUACUUGAUCAUCAGAGAUUUGUGGGUUUGUUCCAAAGGCAUUUAUUGCCUUCGUCUUCUGGGGCUGUACCGCGUAAUGAAGCUCCAAAUGAUCAACCUCUGAUGCCUCCUCCUUCUAGGGUUCUGUCCAGUACUGAGGCUCCAAAUGAUCCCCCUCCGGUGCCUUCUCUUUCUGGGGCUCUACCGACUGCUGAGACUUCUCCUAAGCAACCUUUGUGAAGGCUCCCUCUUGUGUGUUUAUUUUGACUCAUGUAUAUGUACAUAUUUGUAGCUUAUCGGGGAUAUCAAUAAAUAAGCUUUCCUUCAUUUCAACGUAUUUGUGUUAAAUACACCAAAGCCUUCUUCGCUAAGUUCUUUGAAUUUUCUUUUGUUGAAGCUUGUAUGUUGAAGCUUUCUGAGUGGAGCAUGUAGGUUGGGGUAGUGUUCCCUUAAUUUCCCGAGUGAGGAAAACUUCUCGGUUGGAGACUUGGAAAAUCCAAGUCACUGAGUGGGAUCGGCUAUAUGAAUCUUAGAACGCCAUUGUGCUCGAUCCUGUGUCAUGUCCUUCGUUAGAUCCAAGUACUCUAAGUCUUUUCUUAGAGUCUCUUCCAAAGUUUUCCUAGGUCUUCCUCUACCCCUUCGGCCCUGAACCUCUGUCCCAUAGUCGCAUCUUCUAAUCGGAGCGUCAGUAGGCCUUCUUUGCACAUGUCCAAACCACCGUAACCGAUUUUCUCUCAUCUUUCCUUCAAUUUCGGCUACUCCUACUUUACCCCGGAUAUCCUCAUUCCUAAUCUUAUCCUUUCUCGUGUGCCCACACAUCCAACGAAGCAUCCUCAUCUCCGCUACUACACCCAUUUUGUGUACGUGUUGAUGUUUCACCGCCCAACAUUCUGUGCCAUACAGCAUCGCCGGCCUUAUUGCCGUCCUAUAAAAUUUUCCCUUGAGCUUCAGUGGCAUACGGCGGUCACACAACACGCCGGAUGCACUCUUCCACUUCAUCCAUCCAGCUUGUAUUCUAUGGUUGAGAUCUCCAUCUAAUUCUCCGUUCUUUUGCAAGAUAGAUCCUAGGUAACGAAAACGGUCGCUCUUUGGUAUUUCUUGAUCUCCGAUCCUCACCCCUAACUCGUUUUGGCCUCCAUUUGCACUGAACUUGCACUCCAUAUAUUCUGUCUUUGAUCGGCUUAGGCGAAGACCUUUAGAUUCCAACACUUCUCUCCAAAGGUUAAGCUUUGCAUUUACCCCUUCCUGAGUUUCAUCUAUCAACACUAUAUCGUCUGCGAAAAGCAUACACCAAGGAAUAUCAUCUUGAAUAUGUCCUGUUAACUCAUCCAUUACCAACGCAAAAAGGUAAGGACUUAAGGAUGAGCCUUGAUGUAAUCCUACAGUUAUGGGAAAGCUUUCGGUUUGUCCUUCAUGAGUUCUUACGGCAGUCUUUGCUCCUUCAUACAUAUCCUUUAUAGCUUGGAUAUAUGCUACUCGUACUCCUUUCUUCUCUAAAAUCCUCCAAAGAAUGUCUCUUGGGACCCUAUCAUACGCUUUUUCCAAAUCUAUAAAGACCAUGUGUAAAUCCUUUUUCCCAUCUCUAUAUCUUUCCAUCAAUCUUCGUAAGAGAUAGAUUGCCUCCAUGGUUGAGCGCCCUGGCAUGAACCCGAAUUGGUUGUCCGAAACCCGUGUCUCUUGCCUCAAUCUAUGCUCAAUGACUCUCUCCCAGAGCUUCAUUGUAUGACUCAUUAGCUUAAUACCCCUAUAGUUCAUGCAAUUUUGUACGUCGCCCUUAUUCUUGUAGAUAGGCACCAAAGUGCUCGUUCGCCACUCAUUUGGCAUCUUCUUCGUUUUCAAAAUCCUAUUGAAAAGGUCAGUGAGCCAUGUUAUACCUGUCUCUCCCAAAAGUUUCCACACUUCGAUUGGUAUAUCGUCUGGGCCUAUUGCUUUUUUAUGCUUCAUCUUCUUCAAAGCUACAACCACUUCUUCCUUCCGGAUUCGACGAUAAAAAGAGUAGUUUCUACACUCUUCUGAGUUACUCAACUCCCCUAAAGAAGCACUCAUUUCAUGUCCUUCAUUGAAAAGAUUAUGAAAAUAACCUCUCCAUCUGUCUUUAACCGCGUUCUCUGUAGCAAGAACCUUUCCAUCCUCAUCCUUGAUGCACCUCACUUGGUUUAGGUCCCUUGUCUUCUUUUCCCUUGCUCUAGAUAGUUUAUAGAUAUCCAACUCUCCUUCUUUGGUAUCUAGUCGUUUAUACAUAUCGUCGUAAGCCGCUAACUUAGCUUCUCUCUGACAGCUUUUUUUUCGCCUCUUGCUUCGCUUUUCUAUACCUUUCACCAUUUUCAUCGGUCCUCUCCUUGUAUAAGGCUUUACAACAUUCCUUCUUAGCCUUCACCUUUGUUUGUACCUCCUCAUUCCACCACCAAGAUUCCUUUUGGUGUGGGGCAAAGCCCUUGGACUCUCCUAAUACCUCUUUUGCUACUUUUCGGAUACAACUAGCCAUGGAAUCCCACAUUUGGCUAGCUUCCCCCUCUCUAUCCCACACACAUUGGGUGAUUACCUUCUCUUUGAAAAUGGACUUGUUUUUUCUUCUUUUAGAUUCCACCAUCUAGUCCUUGGGCACUUCCAAGUCUUGUUCUUUUGUCUUACUCUUUUGAUAUGUACAUCCAUCACCAACAAGCGAUGUUGAUUAGCCACGCUCUCUCCUGGUAUAACUUUGCAAUCCUUACAAGUUAUACGAUCCCCUUUCCUCAUUAGAAGAAAAUCUAUUUGUGUUUUUGACGACCCACUCUUGUAGGUGAUCACAUGUUCUUCUCUCUUCUUAAAGAAGGUGUUGGCUAAGAAGAGAUCAUAUGCCAUUGCAAAAUCCAAGAUAGCUUCCCCAUCCUCGUUUCUCUCCCCAAAACCAUGGCCACCAUGAAAACCUCCAUAGUUGCCUGUCUCCCUGCCCACGUGUCCAUUUAAAUCUCCUCCUAUAAAUAACUUCUCCGUCUGAGCAAUUCCUUGCACCAAGUCUCCAAGAUCUUCCCAAAAUUUCUCCUUCGAACUCGUAUCCAACCCUACUUGAGGUGCGUACGCACUAAUCACAUUGAUAAGUUCUUGUCCUAUUACAAUCUUGAUUGCCAUGAUUCUAUCUCCUACCCUCUUGACAUCUACAACAUCUUGUACCAAGGUCUUGUCCACGAUGAUGCCAACACCGUUUCUCGUUCUAUUUGUGCCCGAAUACCAAAGUUUAAACCCUGAGUUUUCUAGAUCCUUUGCCUUACUACCAACCCACUUAGUUUCUUGUAGGCACAUAAUAUUUAUCCUUCUCCUCACCAUAACUUCCACUACUUCCAUAGAUUUUCCCGUUAAGGUUCCUAUAUUCCACGUUCCUAAACGCAUUUUGCUCUCUUGAACUCUACCCUUCUGUCCUAGCUUCUUCACCCUCCCCCGUCUAAUAGGAUCAAAGUACUUCUUUUGUGUGUCCCGGGUAAAAUUGAUAGGAGCAUAUGCUCCCAAACAACUUUGAGUGGAGUCGUUCGAAAAGAAGUUUCUAUGGCCCCCUUGCUCAUUUAACACUGCAUCCGGGUGCCGAUGGAGAUGCAGCGACCCUUGCUCACUUAUCACUGUGCUCAGGCCACACAGCGCGCCACUUACGGGUGACGCCCUAGCUUUAGCGCGAUUUUGUUCUGGAUUCAUUUUCAUAAGGAUUCGACGUGAUCAUGGAGUUAGAUACGCAGAAUUUAUACAAAAAUGGAAUACCAAAAGAAAGCUGGGUGAUUGAGCAGUUAUUGCAGACAAAACUCACAAGAUAUUGACUACAGAAAAUAAAUACGACAUCGGGAGCCAUCAGAGUUUGUUAGACAUUAUUAGAGAAGUUGUGGAAUACGCAAUCCAGUUCCGAAACAGUUUGUGAAUCUAAGUACUCUCACUUAUCAAAUUCAGAGCAGUUAAAACGGGAUCUGGAAAGUUACCAGGCUUCAAAUCACGGUGUAUGAUCCCAUGAGAGUGCAAGCACUCCAUCGCACGAGCAAUAUCUAGUGCGAAACCAACAGCAACGCGUAUGUCCAAGCACCUUGGCCGCAUGUUUAGACAAUAUUUACGCAAUGUACCACCUAAUAAAAGCUCAGUAACUAUCACCAUUACUGGCUCCUUGCAGGCACCAAUAAACUGUUGAGAGGCAGCGAACCUUAUUAAUUAUCAGAUAUCAACAACAACAACAACAACAACAACAAAGCCUUUUCCCACUAAGUGGGGUCGGCUAUAUGAAUCCUAGAACGCCAAUGCGCUCGGUUCUGAGUCAUGUCCUCCGUUAGAUCCAAGUACUACAUAAAAAUUUGGCAUUCAUGACUGCACAGUCUAACUAUUGUCAACAGUCACCGAUGACUUAACAACUAAAUGAGGGCAAUUAAAUCGAACCUUCACUAAAUUUUUAUGUUGAACUCUCGACAACAUUACAACCUCUCUGGCAAACCGUCCUUCUUUCUUGAUAAUCUCCUCUGGAGUUUCUCCUCUAUGAACAACUUUAAUUGCAACAGUCUGGUUUUUGUAUCUGAUUCGAAUCCAAAAGGCCGAAAUCAAAAGAAGUGAGAUAACUGCAGCACAACAAAUCUCCAAAUUGAACCGUAAUUACUUGCAAGCUGCAAUCUAAUCACUUAAGAAACUCAUUUUUCGCCGUCAAGCCAAACUCAACAGAUACUUCUACAGAACAACAAUUCACAGAAAACCUAACCAUUUCCGGGAUCUUAUCAAAAUUUGAAUCUAACCAUUAAACCAGAUUAAAUUUUCAGCAAAACCCAAAAUACAGUUGAGAAUGCAAAACAAGAAAAUGUAUUGAUAAUCGCCACAAGAAAGCAAUUGUAGUUCAUCUAAUCUAAACAAGAUGAGCCAAAAACUUGCAAAUCUAAACAACAUUACUAUCAGCUGAAGCGAAAAGGCGAACCGCAGAAAUGCCAUUGGCAACAAAUCAAGACACACAAGGUCUCCAGUGCAGACCAAAGAAUUCAAGUGCAGAAAUCGAAAACUCGAAAAAUCAAAAGAUUGAAAGUGAAGUGAGGGUGAAGCUGUACAACUUACUUGCCCUCAUAGACUUUGGCAUGAGCUCCCUCACCAAUUCUUGGCCCAACAAAGAGAUGCUUAGGAUCAAUCAGCCAUUUGGCAUCCAGUCUGAACUCAUCAGCUGAGUAAAACCUACUCCCAGAUUCCAUCUUUCUACACAACCCAACAAUCCAACAUCAAAGCCCAACAUUAUCACACAAUAUCAGAAACCCAAAAGCCAAAAAGCACUUUUUCAGAAGCUAAUGCAUUCAUUGAUUCUGUGUGAGUGGAUAAGCUGACACAAAGGGGAAAGCAGCAUCCCAAAGCUCAUAAAACUCACAGGAGGGAGAUGGAAGUACUUACAUGUCCUUGGAGGAGGCAAAAGCAUGGAACCCCACAUGUCCUACCAGAGAGGAGAUUGUGACAGCAAAAGCUCAAUGCCCAAAGUGCUAUUUUUUUUUCUUGGAAAUUUUUUAUGGGGAAGUGAGAAAAUAUCCCUCAGAAGGCAAAACCAGAAGCUUAGCAAAAGCACGUCCCCAAGUGAUAACUAGAGUGCUGCAAACAUAUACUAGUUUGAUUGAAAUUCCAUGGUCCCCGUCAUAGAGAUUAAAUAAAUGGGAUUUGGGGAUUUAUUAAUCUCUGAGGGCCACGGUGCUUUCAGUCUUGUUCUGCAAAUGGAAUCAUGGGAAGGGAGAGAGCCUAAAGAUCAAGUUUUUAAGAACGUGAAGGCGCGGGGGUGUGAAAAGAGAGCGAGAGGAGACAGAGGGGAGUGUUGAAUAUUGCCUCAAAAUGACAUAAAGUGUUUUUUAAAUUAAUCGUUAGUAAAAAUAUAAGUGAAUUUAGAAAAAAAAAUCACAAAAAAAAAAAAACAUUAUAAAAACAUUUUCAGUCAUUUCAAAUAUAUUUUCAAACGAGCUCAUGUUGUAGUUAAGUGGGCAGAGGAAACUGUCAUAUGACAUUUCGAACUAACACUUUAGUUGAAUUGACCCUCUAAAUUAAUUUUUAGGAAAAUUAAUGAAAAUGAAUGGAAAAUUUUAAGUUUUAACGAAAAUGACAAAAUAAAAGAUAAAGUGAAUAGUAUUAUAAUUGACUUUUUAGUGUAAAAAUAUAAUUUUCGUUAAAGUGAAUAGUACUAUGAGUUGUUCGUUAAAAUUUCCUUAAUUUUUUGAUAAAUUAAAGACCUAAACUUUUGUAAAGUGGCCAAUUUAUCCCUUUACUUAUAGACUCUAUCCGCUCAAAUUGAAGGGCCUUAAUCUUUCCAAUAUUUUUUCUUACAUGUCACCUAGGACAACCAACUAAAUAAUUAAAUAUACAUGCCAUAUUUUAAUUGAUAGCUCUAGCUGAUACAUGGAUGUAUUAAGACUUAAGAGCAACUCCACCAGAACAAUUAGCCUGAUGGACCAGCAACGUCACCAACCCAAUAGCCAGAUCUACAAGCUCCAGCCUAGAGGGCAAUUGGGCAGGCAGGGGGGGCCGAGUGAGAAGCCCAGCUUGAAUCGAUGGCUCGAGAGCCCGAGGGCCAAGUGAUGCAAUGCUGACGUAAGGGUGGCGUCAGCCACUAUUUUAUUAUUUUUGCGUCAGGCGCGUGCACAACACACUCGCAUGAGGGCGCGUCCCGACAACAUUUCAGAAGCCUGGGGCCCGCGAUGCAGACGAUAGAAUGUUACCGUUGGUGGCCACAUGGCUUUUUCUCGUUCGUUGGAUUUUAACGGUUACUUGUUCUGGACCAUUGGAUUUCCAACGGUAAAAAAAAAUUUGAAACUUUCUUAAAUAUCAGCCAUUGGAUUUGAGAUCAACGGUCCACGUUAUUCGCCUUUAUAAAUUAAAAAAAAAAGAAUUAACAUUAAAAAAAUCUGAAAAGUUAUCGUUGUGCCACGUGGCACAUUCUAGAGGGUUGGUGUAAACACGAAUUUUUCCUGAAACGAAAGAGACAAGAACAACGUGUACAAAAUAAUAUUUGUAUUUGAUGAUUUUGGGUUACAAUCUCUCUCAAAUUUGAUCAUCUGAUUCGAUCUAUGUAAGGUGUUGAUUGUGGAUGUGCGAUUGAUCCAAAGGGCCGUUGGGCUUGAUCUAAGGAUGAACGUUCUUCAAGGGACGUGGGCUUGAUCUUGAAGGUGGAUUUGAGCGGAUUUUCAAGGAGUCGUUGGGGCUUGAUCUUGAGGAUGAGCG
rnacentral:lncRNA from 1 species